CUCAACUGACUAAGAAGAUGUAGGGCUACGAACUCUUACUUUCUAGGAUGCAACUCCGAGAUUAAUUCUCAUCUUAAUCAACUAUCAACAAACUGUCCUGAGCCUUAAAAAUGUAUAGGAAGAAUGGGUGAGAUUUUAUAAUCCCAGUGAGUAAACAGAUACCAUCUAAAGUAUCUAAAGCCGAGUAAAUAGAGACAAUAAAAUAUCCCAUCCCAAUAUGCAUUUCAUAACUUAGAAAUUUAUUCCAUCCUAUGAAAACAAUUAUAAUUCAAUUAAAAUGAUUUUCAAGGCUUAUGUUUCUCAUAAAAUUUGGCUCAUGCCAAAACUCAUCCUCGGGGAUACUUGAUCGUCAUCAAAGCAUCCACUCGAGUCCGCCAAGGCUAUUAAAACAACUUAUUCAUAUAAAACAGUCGUCCCUUGGCAUUGGCUGAAUCUCACUUUCACGUGGUGGUAAAUCGUGAAGUGGACUCAAACACUUCCAUAAGAGUUACCCUACGCGCCUCUUCCACAGAGGUAAAAUAAAUUAGCCGGGUUUACCGAGCUCUUCUAAUAGGAUGGUCCACGAAAACCCUCCACUGCAGUGUAGGUCAGCCCCACCAUAAUCAUAAAAUAGUUUAACAGCAUAACAAGGUAAUUUUUUUUAUAAUAACUAAUUUGCACGGCAAACCACAAUUCAUGUAAUUUCAAUACAAUAAACCAGCCAAGCAUGCUCACACUAUCAUAAGCCAUUUGAAUUAAAAAUACAAUUCAUACUUAACAACCACAGUCUCCAUGUACUCUAUUUAAAAAAAANNNNNNNNNNNNNNNNNNNNNNNNNNNNNNNNNNNNNNNNNNNNNNNNNNNNNNNNNNNNNNNNNNNNNNNNNNNNNNNNNNNNNNNNNNNNNNNNNNNNNNNNNNNNNNNNNNNNNNNNNNNNNNNNNNNNNNNNNNNNNNNNNNNNNNNNNNNNNNNNNNNNNNNNNNNNNNNNNNNNNNNNNNNNNNNNNNNNNNNNNNNNNNNNNNNNNNNNNNNNNNNNNNNNNNNNNNNNNNNNNNNNNNNNNNNNNNNNNNNNNNNNNNNNNNNNNNNNNNNNNNNNNNNNNNNNNNNNNNNNNNNNNNNNNNNNNNNNNNNNNNNNNNNNNNNNNNNNNNNNNNNNNNNNNNNNNNNNNNNNNNNNNNNNNNNNNNNNNNNNNNNNNNNNNNNNNNNNNNNNNNNNNNNNNNNNNNNNNNNNNNNNNNNNNNNNNNNNNNNNNNNNNNNNNNNNNNNNNNNNNNNNNNNNNNNNNNNNNNNNNNNNNNNNNNNNNNNNNNNNNNNNNNNNNNNNNNNNNNNNNNNNNNNNNNNNNNNNNNNNNNNNNNNNNNNNNNNNNNNNNNNNNNNNNNNNNNNNNNNNNNNNNNNNNNNNNNNNNNNNNNNNNNNNNNNNNNNNNNNNNNNNNNNNNNNNNNNNNNNNNNNNNNNNNNNNNNNNNNNNNNNNNNNNNNNNNNNNNNNNNNNNNNNNNNNNNNNNNNNNNNNNNNNNNNNNNNNNNNNNNNNNNNNNNNNNNNNNNNNNNNNNNNNNNNNNNNNNNNNNNNNNNNNNNNNNNNNNNNNNNNNNNNNNNNNNNNNNNNNNNNNNNNNNNNNNNNNNNNNNNNNNNNNNNNNNNNNNNNNNNNNNNNNNNNNNNNNNNNNNNNNNNNNNNNNNNNNNNNNNNNNNNNNNNNNNNNNNNNNNNNNNNNNNNNNNNNNNNNNNNNNNNNNNNNNNNNNNNNNNNNNNNNNNNNNNNNNNNNNNNNNNNNNNNNNNNNNNNNNNNNNNNNNNNNNNNNNNNNNNNNNNNNNNNNNNNNNNNNNNNNNNNNNNNNNNNNNNNNNNNNNNNNNNNNNNNNUUUUUUUUCUAGCCAUCCACUUGUCCUACUUUUUCCACCACUCAUUCCCUUUGACUUAUCCAAGUUUUAAGUGAAAUUUUCAGAUUUUUCCAAAAUUUUGGUAGAGUAAAUUUUUUAAAAUUACACUUUUAUCCCUGAACUUUUCAAAAAUUAUAUUUUUGCCCAAAAAAUUGAAAAUUUGCCAUAAUGCAUAAUUUUCACUCCUCACACUCAUUUCACACUCCAAAUAAUUAAAUUUGAUCAAAAUCCUUUCAAAAAUUAAAUUUUCGAUUUUGGGUGGUAAAAUUACCAUUUUGCCCCUAUACUCUAAAAAUACCAAAAACUCAUAUUUUUAACUGCUAAAUCUUCCAAUUGUACUUCAAUACUCAUAUCAUACUCAAACACGUCAAAUGGGGCUAAGAAAAUCUUUUCUAAAAAUUUUCAUUUUGUCCUCAAAUUGCAAAAUGACCAUUUUGCCCCUAACCGGUCAAUUUUCCAGAUUGACUCCAAAUCGGACCUCGAACUCCAAAUUACCAUUUUGAGUCAUCUCUGGACUGUGACAUUCUCAUUUUCAUCUUUAAGAUCUCGAUUUUAUUUUGUUCAAUGUUUAAUCGACUUAAUUGUACUUCUAGGGGCAAUAUCGUCUUUUGUCAAUUUCUCGGGCUUUCUCAAUAUACAAACAUUCUAUCGAGUAUGUGAAUGACACCGUAAUUACUUUAUAGAGCAGGGUUUGACAAGAGUGCACUGUGCACCACUAACCUAUCAAAACUAAUAUUCUCCUGAAUCUCCACUAAUUUCGUAACCAAGAAAAUCAUAAACUUUUAUUUUUUUUAUAAUUCUACCUCUACUCUAAGUUCAUUCUUCUUUUGUUUCCAAUAAAAUGUUUUUCUUUUUAAUAGAGAAUGAAAUUAAAAUUUGAAUUUAACUUUUUAAAUAGUAGAUACAUAUAAUUUUCAGUAAGUUAAAUAUUGAAUUAAAAUCAACCAAAAUAAAAAACCACAGUUGGUAAAAGACAUAAAUUCAAAUCAUUAACAUUUUGAUAAAAUUUUGAAAAGAAAGCAAACUUGUCAAACACAACCAUUGUACCACCAAUUGGAGGAGAAGGCUUUUAACGUUGGGAUUUUUGGGAUUUUCUUAUUGGGAAAUAAUCAGCGGGAAAGAAGAAAAAGAGAAGAAACGGUGAAAUAACUAGUAAAGGUAUUAAGAAAAUGGAAUGGGUUAGAACCAAAAAAGAAAGAAAGCUAAAUGUGCCUUAUAUCGUGUUGUUACGUGUGCUUAUGCAGCUCAUCUAAAUAAAAAGAAAAAUCAACACAACAAUUAAGGUUUUGGAUAUUAUUACUUUCUUACCCUUAUGAAAUUAAGAAAACCUUUUAAAAUAUUUGUUUAAAAUUAUACAAUAAGAGUAAAAUAGUCUUAGAAAAUUAAUUUUAACAUAUCAUUAAUAAACGUGUCUCUAAUAUAUUUGUAAACAGGAAAACACGUUUACACCUUUAACUAAUCAUAUUUAAAUGUGUUUUAAACGUGUUAAGCACAUUUGAAACGUUAAGACACGAAACAUGUUAAGGUUAAACCCAAACAUGCUUAAACUCAUAUCUUUUCGUGUCGUGUUCAAAAUUAUCAGGUCUAGUAUGUAGACCCAAUAAUUGUUGUUGCGCAAGAGACUUCAACAACUACAACAAUGAUAAGAGAAAAGGAUGCAACAUGGAAAGUGUUGGUAUUGAAGCCUUCAAUGAUUUCGUUGAUAAAAGAGAAUUCACACACCAACCUUUACUAAGUAACAAUUUACAUGGUUUGGUCCAGGUUAAAAAAAUAGAUUGAAUCAACUCUUAGAGUCCCCGAAAUGGAUUCUCAAUUUAUAGAAUCUAUCUCAGAAAGAACUAAAGCACACCAUUUCAGACCAUGUCCUAUUCUCUUAGAGUCCGUUUAGUAACCGAAAAAUAACUUAUUGAAGGACAAUUUUUCUAUGUAAAAUAUUUUACAUAAAAAUUUAAAGUAUUUUGUUAUUCGGAUAAAUUGUCGAAAGCAUUUUUUAUUGUUUGUAUCAUCUAGUGGAAAAUAUUGUACCAUCACUGGUGAAGUUAUUUGGGUGUUAAAAUGAUAAAGGAGUUGAUUACAAAACAAUGGUGCCAUUCAGUUUUCACAUUAAAAUUAAGAAUGAAAAUGAAAAUGGGAAAAAUGAAUAAUUAUAUUUUUCAAAGUAUUUAACCACAUAUUAUAAUGAAAGUAAGCUCUAAUUGUAAACAAAAUUUCCAUCUCAUUAUUCUUUCUAUCAUAAGGUUAUAAAAAUAUCAAUAUUCAUCAAUUAUGUAAAACAUUCAAAACCUAUAUUUAUAAAUGUAUAUUCAUUAAAUUAUGGUCACUGAAAUAUUUUUUGUUAUAAUUAUUAGUAAGAUUUAUUUAAUUUAUAAAUAAAAAUAUUAAUUUUAUUGAAUGAUUUCAUUAAAAAAUUUUUUAAAAUUUUAAUAAUAUUUAAUAAUUUAAAUAUUAAUAUUUUAAGUUAAUAUUUUAAUGUUAAAUAUUAAUAUUUUUAAUUUUAUAAUAUUUUAAGUUAAAUAUUCAUAUUCAUCAAACCUAUAUGGCUAAGCUUAGUAUAAGAGUAGUUUUUUUGUUCCCUGCAAAAUGUCUUACGCCUCUCAAAGAUGUAAGACAUUUUACGUGGUUAAUUGGUAUUUUUUCUGUUGACUCAUAAAAUGUUUUAUAUCUAGAAUAAAUUUUUCGUUUUCUAAACAAGUAUAAGUCUUGAAAAUGUUUUCCAAAAAAUAUUUUAUAUAAAACGAAUGCACCCUUAAUCUCAAAAGUGAUUGAUUAGGACCCAUGCCCUUUUUACUUUUCUUAAUUGUUGGCUAUAGGAUAAAAAUUUCAAUACUGUAGUCUCUAGAUGAAUGAACUUUGUUAGAUGUUCAAUGAAGAUUGGGUUUCUGAUCGAAAGUGAAAAAAGAUGCUCAAGUGGAUGUUCCUUUCUAAAGUAGUGGAAUAAAGACGUAUUCGACAACUUGGACAAUGUGGUAAAUCAAUUCAAAGAACACUACCUAAAAUUCAGGCUUUAUUGACAGAAAUGUUUCCGUUAAUAAUACUCUAUUGGUAAAUGCCAAUCGAUUAACGAUGGAAUUGUAACGAAUAACAUCUAUGCAAUUCUCUAGUAGAACAGCGACAAAAAAUGCCAACGAAACAUCUUCCAUCGGUACUCGAUCGAUGUUUAUUGUUAGAGCGAAGCCUACCAAUAAUAUACUAUAUCUGUUGAUAUAGAAAGUACUGACAGAGGUGCCGAUGGGAUUUCCAAAAAGGGUGAUGGAAUUUUUGUCAAUUGGAAAGGUAAACUCAAACAUCCAUCACACUUGCUGACGGAAUACUCCGUCAUUAUUUUCAGUCAAUAAUUGUAGAAUAAAGCAUUCGGGGAUAGAAACAUAGCAAUGGAUAUACUGAUGGAAUUUCGAAAAUGCCAACAAAAUUUUCAUCAGUUGGGAAAAGUAAAGUCAAACGUUAAUCAAACAUCAAUCACCCUUUCUGACGGAGUCAUCUGUCGCUAACUUCCAUUCGGAAAUAAAAAAUAAAGCAUCUAGAGUAAGAAAUUAGCAACAAAACUGUCAACGGGAUUUUUGUUGAUCUUGAAAGGUAAACUUAGACAUCAAUCAAACGUCAAUCACGCUUGGUAACAAAAUAAUCCAUUGUUACUUCCGUUGGUAAAUGGAAUAUGAAGCAUCAAGGGUCUAAAACACAACAAUGGAAAUAUUGACGAAAUUUUGGUCGAUAAUGCCUACCCUAAACGUCAAAAGGCUACCAUCAAAAUUUUCAAAAUGUUGACUAAUUUUCCGUUGGAGAAAGUAUUGUCAUACAUCAAUCAAAUGUCAACCAUGAGUACCAAAAAAAUUUUGCGUCGAUAAUUUCAUUGGUAAAUUUAAUCAUAUAACUAACUUGAUUGCCUUCCCUCCCGUUUGUUCUUUUCUUUUAUUCUCCCUUUCUUUGUCCCCCUUAGGCCCGACCUUUCUCGACCUACGUCCCCAGAGCCUGUCCUUGUCACUUAACCAUUGCUGGCCGUCACUGGCACAUGGACCCAACAGGUUGGGCUCGUUAGACCCAUGCAAACCUUAUAGUUUAUAACUUGAUAGGUCAUAGCAUACUUGUACCUGCUAUCCAUGGCACCAAGUAUUAACACAUCACGUAUAAAUACAUGCAUAACACACCUAGUGUAGUAUCACAAUGAAUAUAUCCAUAUGGGUCCAAGUGACCCUCAAUAUAGUGUGGCAAAGCAGUUAGUUACGUGCCCACACCUAUAUAAAAAUAUAUACAUCAACAUAAAAUCCUCAAAUUAUAUAUGCCACCUUGUGGCUAUGACCAGUUUAUGCACAAAUAUCACAAAUAGUCGAAAGACCAACGCAGUACUCGUACAAUAAAGGACUUUGGUGAAAAGUGUGUUAGCUUUAAAAUUAUUAUAGUUUUGAUUAUGACAAAAUGAUCAAAUUUGCUUGAGCUUUAUUGAGUAAUUCUUGAAGAUUUCUUUAAAUUAUUUAACUCUCAUAUACUUGUUCUUACAUUGACACAAGCUUGACUCUUUAAGUUAUUAAACUAUAUCUAUAAGCUUGAAUGACUUAGGUGUAUGAGUGCUUAUGAUUCUCAUUCAUUAAAGUUUGAUUUAAAGAUUAAAAUAAAAUCUUGAUGCACUCAUUAAGGAGGAGUUUUGAAUAUCUUGUUUAAUGAUGAAAAAAAAAAAAAGAGAGAAGGAAUAUUAAAUCAAAUAGAGUUAAAUAGGUCUUCAUGUUUAAUUUAUGUGUGUGAUGCUCAGUUUUGGUUUUGUUUAAUAUUAUGGAAAGAAAAGUAGAUGCAUUGACUAAGGGAGAGCACCUCAUUAUGCAUAAAGAUUUGAAGCAUUCAUACUGAGCAUAGACAUUGCAUUCUUAAUCAUGGAGUAUUUUGUGAUCAUAUAAAAUAAAAGAUAGAGAAUGUUGACUCUAUAUGUUUUUGAUGAUAGCAAAAUAUUCCCGCUCAUUUGUGUCAAAUACCUUUACUUUAGUGUGCAGGAAAUUAAUAUAUGAAAUUAAUUAAUUAAACUCUUCAAAGAGUAUAUCAAAAGAAAAAAAAGGGAUAAAAAUAACAAGAUGCAAUAGUCUAACAAGGAGGAAGCUUAUUGGUGAAACAAAGAAAAACGUUGGUUGACCAAGUUUCAAAUUGGAGAAAUGGUGGGCUGAAGAUUUUGAGAAACAGAACCAACUUAGUCGACCAAGUCAGUUGAUUAAGUGCUCUCUGCCAAGAUCUGCAAACCAGAAACAGAAUCAACUUAGUCCAUCAAAUCAGUCGACUAAGAGCUCUCUGUCUGCAAUUUGAACUAGAGCACUACAAGAUAGAUUAACGACUAGAACUCAUCCUUAACUGUUUUCAACGACCAUAUAUUGUCAAACUGCCAUCAAAGUUGCAUCUCCAAGUAUAAAAGGGUCUCUCAACAAUUAAAAACAAGUUUUUGGAAGCCUCGAAUGAGAUUUAAGCUAUAGAAAUUAGAAAAACCAGAAAAGUUUCACUGUACUUGUCUGCACUUAAACGCCUACUCUUUGCAUUUGUAUUUAGCACUCAAUCUUGUACCAAUCAGAUCAUCCAGUGAUCAUAGGUACUUUCUUUUACUACUUCUCUUGUAUUCUUAGAGUGAGGGAGUCACUCUAAGGGGUUGUUCAAGCUUGGGAUAGCUUGAUUGUUAAAGGUUGUGGUUGAGCCUUGGAAAACCACUUUGAGUUUUAGUUGAGCUCGUGAAAAACUAGUGUAAACGGUUGUGACUGAGCCUGGUAAAAGCCAUUGUAAAAGCUUGGUGGAAGCUUAUGAAUUUCACCAGUUGUUAGUGAGUUUGUGAGAAAAUCCUUAGUUGGAUAAUCAAGGUAGUGGAUGUAGGUCUUGGAUCGAACCACUCUAAAUUGAUGUGCAUUUUAUACUCUAUUUUUGUUUUCUUAAGUUCUGAAAAUUAGUUUCCAAUCUUGUCAAGAGCCAAAUUGUGCUAUUUACCCCCUCUAGCACAUAUUAUAGGGACCAACAAAGUGGCUACUGAAGGCCAUCAUAGUUACCUACCAACUGACAUAUUCGGGUGGAACUCCCAACUCUAUGAUCUAGCUACUCUUUAAUCUAAAAGUCAAAACAUGCAUUUUGAAAAUGGUAAGCAUAAACUCAAUAAGGGAUAUACAAAGGGAAUAGACAAUUUAACAAGGAGGCUUUUAUUAAAAGUUAUGCAUUUUUCCUUUAGAAAUCAUGCAAUUUAAUUUAAAACCAAAUCAAUGGAGGCAAUUAUAACAUUUAAGUGCUUUCCAAUACUUAUAACUUAAAAAUAGCCAAAGCUCAACCAUAACGCCAUAUAAACACCUCACUUUUUACAACAACUACUCUUUAUCAAAAUCAAUUAAAACAACUAUAUCAUAAACAUGCAGUGGAGUAUGCUAGUGAAGUACUAUAUAAUCAUAAUAAGUCCUGAUGACAUUUAUCUCAAGGAUAGUGCCAUUAUCCACUACCGUAAUUAUCUAGGGUGUAUGCCAAGUAGUGAACUCGUAUAAAAGUGGUACAGUGGCUCAAGCCAAUGACUAUGAUAAACACUUGUGCCAUCCUUCAGCCACAAGGCUAGCAUCAUUAUCCAUGCCCUCUGCUAGCUAUGUGCUCUCACCAUUGUGCACAAUGUCCAGCGAUACUAUCGCUAGUAUAGGUACCUCACUUAAUUUACUCCAUCAAAACAUUUGCCUUAUAAUUUUAGUCUAUAUCAAAAUCAAAACACAUGGCAUUUAGUGUUGCUACGCCUUUCAGUAUAGAUAAAAAUAUCAUUUCAUGAUAGUCAAACCACAUGACACAUAGCGUUGCUACUGUGCCUCUUAGCAUAGUUAUUAUUAUCGUACAAUAUGCGAUACAUAUAGUACAAUAUGUUACAAUACAAUACUAAUAAAAAACAAUACGUAUCUAUAGCUAUAUCGCAUUUUAUCAAGUAUCGAAAGCGUAUUGUACAACAAACAAUACGUAUCUUACGAUAUAGGGGCAUAUCGUAUAAUACAAUUGAUACACUUUUGUUAUAAAGCUUAAUUCUAAUUAAUUAUCAAAAAUUUUAUUUUUUAUUAUUUUUUUGAGUUGAAACAUGAAAAAUUACAUUUUAUGAGUUUCAAUCUUUAGAUUUUAAACAAAAAAUACUAAAAAAAUUCAAGUUCCUUUUAAUUUCAACAUGUUAUUUUUUAAUUAAUAAAUUAAUGUGAAAAAAUAUAUAUUUUAUUUAAAAUUUUAUAUUAUUAAGAAAUAUGUUGAGAGUUUAAAUUAAAAUAAUAAUAAUCAUCAUUCCAAUUUAUGCCUUAUAAUAUUCAAUUCUGUUAAAAAAAAUAAGAUUUCGAUAUAUGAUAGUAUCUCGAUUUAACAACUAUGCUUUUUAGUAUAAAUAAAACUAUCAUUUCGUCAUAUUCAAACCACAUGACAUGCAGUGUUGCUACCGUGCCCCUCAAUAUAGAUAAAAAUAUCAUUUUAUCAUAUUCAAACCACGUAACAUGUAGCAUUGCUAUAAAAUAUAUAUAUGGGGAGGGAUCCACUUACACCAAAAGCGAAGCCGAAAAUUUUCAAUGGAAUGGGAAUUCUAUUUCGUGUCUAUUCUAGAUGAAGGCCCGUUCUCUAAUUUGGUUCAAAUUAUGAGGAGGAAUAACCGUUCUGAUCAAAAAGUCUAUUAUGGGUUUAAUCAAAAUGGCCAUUCUUCUUUUCGCCAUGGUAUUAGCUAUUUUUUAACUUGAGCAAUAGAAAUACUAUUCUAUGGAACAUUUUAUUUCUAAAAAAAAAAAAAUUUAUCCCAAGCGUAGGAGAGCGAAUAGAGCCAACGACCAAAUUUCAACCAUCAUCGAUGGUUGUAAAAUUACUAAAUUACGUAAACCAAAAGUUAUGACUGUUGCAGGUGACAAAAUGGGCUUCUAAUGGUCAAACUUGAUUGAAAAAGACCAAUGAGGGGAGCCAAAUAGUUAAAUCUAUUGCUAUUAGUCACGAUGGCACAUCACUGGCUCAGGUCUAAGCGGCUCAAUCUUCCCAUUGCAAGGUUAUAAUGAUGUGCCAGUGGUUGGAUUUGGUCACUAGCAGCAUCUAGGUGCUUUGUCGGAUACCAUAUUCUAUCACUGAUCAAUUGGAAAAGAAGAAAGAAAAGAAGGAAAAGAGAAAAAAGACAAAGAAGAAAUAGAGAGUAAAACGAAAGAAUUAUAAUGAAAAUAGUAUUAAAAUUUUAAUUGAUCAAAAAUAAAAAUUUUAAUUUAUAAUAAAAUAAUAUUUUUAUAAUAAAUUAUGAUUAUUUUAAUAAAAAGAUAAAUCAGUCUUUUAUAUUUAUUCCAAUCUUGUGCUUUGAGCUAACCAAACAUAUUAAUACUAUUCUUAUAUAUUCCAAUCCAAUUAACCAAACAUUAUAAUAACUAUUGGUAUAAUGUUUGAAAAAAUCCAUAAACUAUUCAAGAAAGUUUAAAUAAGUUCUUUUUUUCUAUUACAUAUAAUUAAGCCCAUAUAUUUUAUUUUGAAUCUAAUAAAUUCUUAUAACUAACGGCUGAUAAAUUGUUAGUAAUCAAAAACAUAUCAACAAUGCAAUAUGAAGUACAAAAAGAUGGGCCUCAUUGGAAUCUUGAAAAUUGUUUCAUGUCUUGCGGAUGCAAGUAAUGUCACAUUAUCAUUACCUUUUCAGGCAGGACCUAUUAUGAUUGUAAUCUACAUUCUAUGACCCUCGGUGACCAUAUUGUUAUUUUGUGGUUGAUCUUACUUGGAAAGUUGCACUUUACUACUAGAUUUAACUAUGUACAUCCUGCAUUUGACUAUGACUGAUCUUGAUGGUAAAUUGCUGUUGUUUCUGUUAUUUUUAUGUCUAUUGGUAUAAACUAGAUAAAUAUAUCAUUAAUUCCUAAAGACUAUGGAGAAGGUAAAAAAAUUAUUUAUUACUUUAUACUCACAUGAUGUUGACAUGGCAAUGAUGUAGACGAUGUAAAAGUCAUAUGAUCAUGUUAUCAUGUUAAGUCAGUAUGUCACAUUAUCAUCUAUUAUAACAUGUCAGUAUACUACAUUAGCGUCAUGUAGCAUAGAAUAACAAGUGACAUUUUGAUUAAAUAUAGUUAAUCAAUCAUAGGUAAUAAAAGUUUAUUUGACUUAAAAUAAAAAUACAAAGUAUUAAUUUAACGUAAAAAAAUAAAAAAUUAUUUGAAUUUUUUUAAAUAGUUCAAGAAUUUUUAUAAAUAUUAUAUAAUAACUAUUUUAUUCUAUUUCUUCACCCUUCUAUAUUUUCUUUCUCAAACAAUAAAUCAUUUAUAUUAAUAAUCAAACCAUUACAACUUACACAUCUCACGAGGAUGGUGAAACCUAAAAUCAGCAGUACACCUUUCAAUAUCCAGUAGGCACAAAACAGAAGUUAAACUCAACUUCCCACCUUCACAGAUAGGAGGAAGUUUAGAAACUAUUAGCUAAAAGAGACAAGAGCAUAAUCACCAUACCGCAUAAAAGAAACUCUCACUUCCCAUUUGAAAUUUAUCAUCUCUCCAUAGUCUCUGAACCCUUCUCUCCUUAAUUUUCUCAAGCUUAGUUUCCCCGAUAUUCAGUUGUCACCCCUUCAUAAAUUGCGCAGAGCUCUGUCUUCAUUGCCAAUCUCAACGAGUACUCUAGAUAAGUCCUUGCAGAUCCUUUAAAACAAGCAAUCUAUUUUACAAGAUAAUUAUUGCAUUUUUUUUCAUUCUUUGAACCAAAGGUGCCGUAAAUAUUUUUAACAAACUAAUAAUUGAUAAAUAAAUUAGCCGACCAUAAAAGAUCCCACUCGGGAGUCACCUAUACGCUCUUAGCAGUUGCAUUCAAAGAUACCUUUUCAUGUUCUGAUUAUUUAGUUGGGUAUAAUAAUAAUAAUAAUAAUAAUAUUAUUAUUAUUAUUAUUAUUAUUAUUAUUAUUAUUAGGUCUUUAAGAUUUGGGCUUGGAUUGGUUAUCGAAAUCUGAAGACAAAAGAACAGGCAGGCUUAAUGACAGUGUUUGCAUGUGGCGAAAGCCGAUAAUUUAUUGCUGCUUGGCAGAACUGACGAAGUUGAAACGUGGAUUUGCAUGUGGUCUCUGUUGGCAGUGAUAGGUCAUUAAUCUGGGGUUGGACUCUCGCUCAUCUAGGAAAAACAGAUACUAGCUCAGCUUGAAUCGACAAAUCUUUGUCCCCAACUCAGCUGGUACUCGCAUAUUCCGCUCCUUAAUUUCUGUUGUUUCAAUUACUAGUUUAAUCACCAUGUUUGCACCUAGCACAAUAUUCUCGUUUGUAUUAUAAAAAAAUUCCCAUUUCCCACGACUCUGAAUUAAAUUUUUUACUUUGAGUUAUUACAAUAAAAUUUCUAUAAAUUAAUAUUUGAUAAAUUAAUAAUUAUUUUACUGCCCUUUUAUGGCUAGGAUCAUCACAACUUUUGCCAACACUUGAACAACCUUUUUUUAGUUUUGCUGGCUUUAUUCUCCCCUUCUCUCACAUCUGUUAUUGUUAUUAGAGAGAACGAAAUCGCUGUCAAGGGCAAUAGAGAUAUGGGUGGGUGGGAAGAUUACAAGCCGGCAAUGGCUAUGGUUGGAUUACAGAUCUGUUAUGCAGGCGUUGCACUCGCCACAAGGGCUGCUUUGUUGCAAGGAAUGAGUCCUCGAGUCCUUGUAGUUUACAGGCAAGCCGUGGCAACUUUGGCAGUUGCACCAAUAGCUUAUGUCUCGAGGUGGUACGAUUUUCAACAUAUAUAUGGAGUUAUAAACUCUCUCUCUCAAACAAGCAUGUAUGGUAUGUAUAUUAAUUAAUCAUCUCACCUUACCUUUGUAUGCAGGCGAAUAUCAGGUGGAUCUUCUAUGGGAUUAAGAAGCUUUUCUUUGAUGUUUUUGGCCUCACUAAUCGGGUAAUUUUCUGAGUCUAUUUUCCUUGCUUUUCCUUCUUAUCUAUAUCUUUUUCCUACUUUGGAUAUAUGAAAUUGAGUUCGUUUUCCUAAGGUCAAAUCUUUAUACAGUUCUUCUUGUUUGCACUGACCUGGCACAGGGUGACAAUCAAUCAGAAUAUCUACUAUGAGGGUUUAUAUUUGGCCACUUCAUCAAUGGCAAGUGCCAUGGCUAAUCUAGUCCCCGCCAUCACUUUUUUAAUGGCAUCGAUUGUUGGGUACGAGAUUGCUCAAAACAAGUAUGUCUCCUCAACCAUCGCAUAGAAAUAUUCAUUUACCGUUUCUUCUUGUUUUUUCCCCCUUUUCUGUAAAUCUAUAGAUUAGAAAAGGUGAAUAUUCGAAGCUUGAGAAGUAUUGCCAAAAUAGUUGGCACGGUGAUCUGUGUCGCUGGAGCCAUUUUCAUGGCAUUGCUUAGGGGCCCCAAGCUACUUAACGCACAAUCUUUACCAGCAAAAUCUAUUUUUGGAUCGGAAGGCGAGCACUGGUUGCUGGGUUGUCUAUUUCUCUUUGGAAGCGCUUCUUGCUGGUCUCUUUGGCUGAUUUUGCAGGUAUUUGGAUCCAAUAGUUCUCUUCACUUGUCUGACAUUUCAAUCACUAAUAUAUAUUAUUAUAAUUUCUGACAGGUUCCUACUUCAGCCAGCUACCCUGACCUCGUUUCUUUAUCCUCCUGGAUGUGUUUCUUUGGAACAUUGCAGUCAGCAGCAGUUACACUGUUUUUAGAACCAGACCUGGAAGCAUGGACACUUCAUUCCAAUAUUGAGCUUUUUUGUUGUCUCCUUGCAGUAUGUACUUUGAUUUCCAACCGAAAGAAGAAUUCUGGUCACUAACCUUUAUACAAUGCAAAUUACAUCCUUAUGGAGUACUAACCAGGACUGCCAUAUCCAUAGGGAAUCUUAGGAUCCGGGAUCUCAUUUUUCGUUCAAGCCUGGUGCAUUGCACAAAGAGGCCCCCUCUUCUCUGCCAUGUUCAAUCCUUUAUGUACGGUCAUUGUGACCAUAUCGGCUGCUUUGCUCUUGCACGAGGAAAUUUAUUUGGGCAGGUAAAUAUAUAAUUUUAGAUUUUAACAACAUGAAGGAUAUAAAUCCCAGAUUCUCCACAAAGUUUCUUCUUAUUUUUAUUUCCUAUCUUCUCAUAUCCUGGUAUUUGUAAUGGUUAAUUUCUGUUUCUGUUUCAUUUCAGCCUGAUAGGUGCAGUUGGUGUAAUUGGUGGCUUAUAUGUUGUGCUAUGGGGAAAGGCCAAAGACCUUCAAGUGAUCAAUAGAAAAACAGAUCCAGAGUCACAAAAUGAUCAGAAAUCAUCAACCAGGAAGACAAUUCUGAUAGAUUGGUCUCUGCAGACAAGUUAUAAACUUGACUUGGAAGAACCCCUUUUGUGUGAAAAAGCUACCAAUACGAAUGAAAAUAAGCCAUAACGUAUCGUAUAGGAAAUGAUCUGGCCAGUGGCCACUAGUAUUUUAAAAGUAAGCUAGCUUAAGUAGUAUUUGUUUUUCCCCUUACAGGAUUUGGUCGAUAAUUUUCAAUAUACCGCAAACUGAGCUACAUCACUAUUUUGUGGUCACUUUUUAUUUGGUUAAUCAACAAUUAAUGUUUUUCUCUGGUACAGGGUUAAUCAACAAUGUUGAUUAAAAGCUGAAAUUUGUAAAUUUCAGUUUUAUAUGCUAAUGCAAUGGUUUUAAAUUACCCUACUUCUGCAUUACCGCAAGCAGCCAAAGCAGAGACAACAAGAUUGGACUCUUAAAAAUUGUGCUUUACUCCUAAGAUUGUAAUCUAUAACCAGUAAAUUUAUGAGAGAAAAACAACAUACUUAAAGUCCACCUCUGACUCCAAUAGAAGCAUGAGGACCAUAUAUAUUAUAUAUAUUCUCUCAUAAGCCGAUCGAGGCUAUCCAAAACUCCUUUCGGUGUGUGAAAAAUGGAGAGAUAAUAGAUCAGUAAUGAGUUCAAAACUAAGUUAAUUACUAUUAUUCGCCUUCCAAAAGACAAGUACUUCAGCUGCCACAUAGACAACCUUCUAUUAAAGAUGUCAAUCAUAGGUUUCCACAUCUUCAAACUCCUAAGAUUUGCUCCGAAGGUAGUUGAGUGGCAAUGUCCUCACCCUACAAUUUAAAGAGUCUGCAAUCAUCUCCAUCACCUAGACUUGAGGGCUAACUAGAUAUGCAAACGAUUUGUUGAAGUUUAUUUUCAAGCCCGAAGUAACCUCAAGCACCGUAAUAAGCGCCUAAUGUUAAUGGCUUCUUGCACACCAUCCUUAACAAACAUAAUAGUAUCAUCAGCAAAUUACAAAUGAGAAAUGCGCAAACAUGAUUUCAUUACCAAAAUACAGUGAAAAAGGUUGAUGGACUCCGCUCUGAUCAAGAGCAGGUGUAGGGCCUCAACCCCAUAAGCAAAAGGACACAGUCCUCGACCCAUAGGAAUUUCCUUUGUCGCCGAUCCAUUGACAAGGACAACCACUCCAACAGUAGAAAUACAUUCAUAAAUCCAUUAUCUCCAUUUUAGCCCAAAACCCACGCACUCCAUUUUCCAUAGCAGAAAUCCUAGUCCACGCAAACGUAGGCCUUCUCAAAAUCUUAUUUGAGCACAACACCCUCGUUAUUUCCUAUUCCCUUGCGCAAGUUGUGAAUGACUUCAUUGGCUAGGAGCAUGCCAUGAUCCAUGAUUUGCCUACCACUUACGAGGGCACAUUGAUUAUCACUUAUCAACUUACGCAUCACUUUCUUCAUUUGGUUUGCUAGUACUUUCACGAUAAUCUUAUAUAAAUAAUUAACAAGGCUUAUUGGCUCAAAGUCUUAAAGGGAAGAUGGAUUUAAGUUUUUGGAAUUAAUGUUAUGAAGGUAGAAUUCAAACCAUUCUCCAGCUUACCACGAAGCAUGAAGUCCGCCACAAAUUCUAGGACCUCUUCCCACACAAUGUUCCACCACCUCUUGUAAAAGUUAAAAUUAUAACCAUCUGAGUCGGGCGCCUUCGAGCCGUUACAUUUUCAAACUAUAGACUUUACCUCUGCCAUGUUAGUUGGAGCCUCAAGCAUUGCAGCAUCUUCUUCACUAAUUUUCCGAAAUUGUAGCUUAUUAAAAAUGAGUCUCCUCCGCUAAUUGCUAGGGAAUACCUUCUGAAAGUAACCUACAGUUGCCUUUUUAACCUCCCUUGGAUCCAAUACCCAAACCCCAUUUCUCAUCGCACAUCACACCACCCAUAGCAUUUCUCCUAGCUUGUGGUUUGGCAGUGCAUUGGAAAAAUCUCGAAUUUUAUCACCAUCUUUAAUCCAUUUGAAGUGAGAUUUUUGGUGUCAUAUGGAUUCUUUAUUUUUUGUUUCUUUCCAAAGCUUGCUCUUUGUUGAUUUUUUUUGGGGGCUAUUUCUUCCUCAAUUAAAUUCCUUUCGUCACCAAUCUUAUCAAAAGCAUCUAUCUUCUAACUCACAAACUUUCAAGGAGAAUUAACUUAGGAAAUAGACAACACACAUAAAAGAGUCGAACGUACAAGGCCCACAUGCAGAUGACAACCUGCAUGAAGGGUGUUCGAUAGCUAUUAAGAAGAGUAGUAGCCAAGUAAAAUAUUUUAAGGCAAUUAAGAUACUUUACAUAUUUAAGUUUUCCUUGUUGAUUACCUUCGAUAAAAAAUGGAAUCAAAGAAACCUUAUUCGAUUUUACAAUGAAAUAUAAAGGGACUAUUUAUAGAGAUAGUUCAUCUUAAACCUAUUUGUAAUGCAUAUAAAUUCAAUAAAGAAGUAUUUUAAUCAUAGACUUUCUUGGAGUGCAAGUAAAGUAAAUGACAUAAAAAUAAAUGUCCUAAAAACUAGGUUUACUUGUUGUGCAAGCAAAGCAAUGAACAAGGAAAACUUAAAAAUGGAAAGUGUUCUAACCACCUUAGAAUACUUUACUUGUUGCUACUCUUCUUAGCACCUAUCGGACACCUUUCAUGCGGGCUGUCCUUUUCAUGCGGGCUUUGUGUGUACAACUCUCUUACGUGUAUGACCUAUAUCCUAUGUUAAUUCUCCUUUACUCCCCAUCAAGUUGGAGUAUGAAGAUUGAAAAUGCCCAACUUGUCCAACAAAGUUUGAAACUGCUCUUGACCAAAGGCCUUGUUUUGGCGCAUUUUGAGGUAUCAAAGAAUUCAUAUAAUAGCAUCAAAGUGUGGUUGUCUUAGAUGUUUAUAUUGUCCAAACGCGUGCAGGCUGCUAUUGUGCUCUGUAUGUGUGGGCCUUAUGCGGAUGGCUCUCUUGCGAAUGGUCCAAAUUUGUGCAAAACUCCUUGGCACGGUGUGCCUAUAACCCGAUGAUGUGCACCCCAAGGGUGAGUGGCCCUUAGGUGUAUGAUGCUCUCGCACGAGACCUUCUCAUACGAGGUCUUCAAGUGUGUGGUCUUCUUGAUUAAAGUCCCCUAGUGUGCAACUCUCGUGUGCGCCUUUCCUGGACAAAAACUUAUCAGUUAAAAUUCUACUACACAAGUAUAUGUAUCGAAUAGAUAGUACAAAAGCAAGCAGAGUAUCGAUCCCACAAAGAAUUGAUCUAAAAUUUUACUAAGUACUAAAAUUAGAACAAUUUAAUCUUAUCCAAAUAAUCAAAUUCAAAUAACUAAAACUAAUUAACCAAAAUUUAAACUAAAAAGAAAAAUCAAAGUAAUAAUAACUUGAGUAAAAAUCAAAUCAAGCAAGCCUAGGAUUACAAUACCCCUCACACUUCAUCUAAAUCUUAUCUCUCUUCCUAACUUAUUUCAAUGGGUUGAACUGCUAAUCUAGAGUUUUUAAUUAUUUGCAAGGAUCUCCCGACUCAACUUAUAAAAAUAGUUGUUUUAACCAAAACAUUAUAUCCUUAUGUGAAUUAAAAUUAAAACAGACUCAUUAAGUUCAGGUUCUAAUCUGGCCACAUGAGGCCUAUAGGUAUAUCCCUAUCCUAUAUGCAAAUCAAUUAAUAUGAUCAUAUAUUAUCCCAAUUUUAGUUUACACUAAACUCCCUUUCCCAAGUUUGUUUAGGUUCCUAAAUCAAUUUAAUUGAUGAUCAAGCAAUUAAAAGCAUUAAAAACAAAUUAAAAUAAACAAUUCAAAUCCCAUUAAAAUAAGCAAGAAAGAGAUUAAAAAGNUUAGAUUACAUCUGAGUUCAAUUGCAAUCCUAAAAAAUUAAGUUUAGCUCAUAAUAUCUAAUAAAAACUUCAUCCAAAGAAAAUUAGCCAUUAAUCCAAGUCAAAGAAACUAAGAAAAACACAAAAGUUAAAGAGAGAAAACUAAUAGUUGAAGCUUUGUGAUCUUGAUUUUCCCUCCAAUUCUCUUAUUUUCUUGCUUUGUUCUUGGCUCCAAAUCUCCAAAAUACUUGCUUAUUGCCUCCCUCUUAAAAUCUCUGAAAAAGGUCCUUUAAAUAUGCUCUAAAUAACGUAAUUUUCAAAAUCCCCUCAACUUUUUUUACUUUUGGAAAAUGGCCCAGCAUUGUGGCGCUACUUCUCAGGGCUGCAGCGUUGAGCUCUCUAGAAAAUCAUAUGGUGAGCUUCCUUUCACCAACGCUGCAGCCUUGUUCUCCUAGUGCUAUAGCAGUCUAUCAAUUUCGAAAAUGAUUUUCGCCAUGAUCUACUCCAAACUGGGAAAAGUGGUAAACAUAAAGUUGUAGGUCUAUCUCUUAGCUUUCCAAUGGCUUACGAAUCAUGUCAAUUGGACUUCCAAAUUGAAAGAUAUGCUCCAAUGCUGCAUCAUGUUUAGUCCACACGUGCCACUACAGUGCUCUGAAUUAGAGAAAUAUUUUGACCAUAAUCCGAUUAGAACUACGCAAAUUGUAAACAUAAAAGUUGUAGCCCUUUUUCUUAUAAUUCUAUCCAUCCAAGAAUCACCUCUUUUGGAGUUUCGUAGAGAGAAAUAUGGUCAAAAUAUCAAAAUAUAUACGAAUAAAGCCAUCACCAUACUUGCACUGAUUUUCAUCAAAUAAGCCUUUUUCAUCAAAUUUCUUACAAAAGCAAUAAGAGAAAUUAGCAAUAACUACUCUUAAACUAAUUUAAAACAAAAUAACAUAAAAUUUAACUAAAAUAACUUAAAUCAAUUACUCAACAUGUAAUCAAACUUAAACUAGAAAACACUUAAAAUGCUACGAUCGGAACCUAAAAUCUCAAAGAUCUAACUACUUAAGCCCCCAAAAUGUGUCAAAAUAACUCUAUAUAAUAGAGUUAUCAAUGUGUUGUAGGUGUGUGUAUACACACAAAUUUCUCAUCAAAAUUUCUUGAUUUGAAAAUUUUAAGACAAAUACAAAUAUUUGAUAAUGUGAGUGAUGAUCUAUGAAAAUUCUUCUGAUUAAUUUCUUCAAUUCAUCUUCAGGAGUCACAAACUUGGGCUUAGUCUUGAUCAUGAACUUGCCUGAUUUUCGCUUCAAGGGUCUUCACGACUUAAUCUUGAUCACAAACACUUGAUCUUCCCUUUAAGGGCCUUGACAACUUAAUCUUGAUCACGAACACUUGAUCUUCGCUUCAAAGAUCUUGACGACUUAAUCUUGAUCACGAUCACUGUAUCUUGAUCAGGAACUUUGCUUGAUAUCUUGAUCACGAACUUCGCUACUGCUUGAUCAAGAACUUCGCUGCUGCUUAAUCACGAACUUUGUUGCCGCUUGAUCUUCACUUCAGAAAUCUUCUAUUCUUCUUGGUCUCUGAAAUGCUUUCAAUCUUCGAAUGCCUCCCAAUCUUCAAAUGCCUUCGAAUGAAUGAAAAUGGCUUAGGGGAGCCCUCUAUUUAUAAUGUUUGGUGGGAGGCUUUGAUGAGAAUAUAAUCUCUUUGAAUUAUCUCUAAAUUAUUUUAAUUUAUUUAGAUUUUAAUUAUGAUGACUCAUUAAAAGUCUUUUGAUUGGCCGGACCUUGAGUCCUUGAAUUUUGAUUGGCCGAAGUUAGGUAUUAUUUCUAAAUUAUCUUAAUUUAUUUAGAGAUAAAUUAAAUAAUUAAAUUUGAUUUUUAUCUCUAAAUUAGUAUAAUUAUUAGAGAUAACUUAAACGACCAAUAAUUAAAUUUUGAUUGGUCAAAAAUAUGAAUACUAUCUCUAAAUUAUUUUGAUUUAUUUAGAGAUAAAUUGGAUGAUCAAUAACUAACUUUUGAGUGGUCAAAAAUAUAAAUAUUAUCUCUAAAUUAUUUUGAUUUAUUUAGAGAUAAUUUGGAUGACCAAUAACUAAUUUUUGAUUGGUAAAAAAUAUGAUAAUUAUCUACCAAUAGGUGAAUUGGUUCAACUAUAUGUCUUUAAAAUAAUCCAACCAAUAAAUUAAUUAUUUUAUAAUUAAUUACAUGGUUAUUAAAUCCAUGUGACAGCAAGUAAUUGGUUGAUAAUUUUUUUCUCUUUCUACAAAUGCCCCCUUAAGACUUGUUCACACAUGAUUUUGAAUGUGAUAAAUGCACAAGUCUUGAAAUUUCAAAAUUUCUAGGAUUUUUUAAAAUCUUAAUGUGUCUUGGUAUACUUGCAAUCCAAAUUAAAUUUGAAUUAUGCUUACUCAUAGGUAAGAGAAUUAUAAUCUUGGAAGAUGUAUAUUGCAAUAAAACUAUUUGAAGAAGUAUAUUGUAAUAAGGCUAUAAUUUUGAAAGAGGUAUAUUGCAAUAAAACUAUUUAAAGAAGUAUAUUGCAAUUAGUAUUGCAUUCCUUAAUCAACAAGGACUUUGUCUUUUUUACUCUAUAAAAAGGGAAUUCGCUUGUUAAUUUUCUGCACAUCAAAAUCAACUUAAGUAUUACAAGUAUUCCAUAAGCUAGCAAGACUGAUUUUUCAUCUUCUCAAAAUUAUAAGGUAUGUCGUCCUUUCUUUCUCUCCUUUUUUUUUUUUUAACAUGGCAGUAGAAUGCAACUCCCAUUAUUUGCAUGCUAAAAUCCUGCAAACUGCCAUUUACUCCAAUUCCCAAGCUAAAAACAUACAAGCCACCACUUGUUUCAAUUCCCAUGCUAAAAUCAUGUAACCACUUUGUGAGACCUUGACCUCUAUAACCUCGUAACUAGGUAUAGACACGAUAACACGGGCUAGGGGUAAUUUCGUCAUUUCUUUAAUGAGCCCUUAGAAGUAGGCUUUCAAACAAUAUUAAGGCCUAAGUAGGCCUAAGGCAUAAAUGAAUGAUGAAAAUAAGGGUAAAAGGACGAAGGAAAUAAAAAUAAUGAUAAUUCCAAGGUAGGGGCAAAAUGGUCAUUUUUCAUCUCGGGUCAAAAUUUUAAGUUUUUGUAAACUUGAGUAUUUUUAGACCAUUGUGGACCUGGCCUCAAUGUCAAAAGAGUAAAAGGAUUGCACAAAGGAUUAGAGAAGAAUAAGCUAACUUGCUAAGGGCAUUUUCAUAAUUUAAGUGGACUUAGAUAAGCUUGAGCUAUAAAUAUCAUCUUCCAGCAGCUUCUUUUCACAUUUUCAGUAGCUUCUUCUUCUUUUUCCUUAUUCCCUCUCACGUUUCUUCAUCCUCCAUGGGAUUUCUCUUCAAGCUUCCAUAACUUUCUCAAGCUAGCUCCAUCUUUUUUGCUUUUGUGCACCUUUUCAUAGAACCUUUGUGCUCUUUCACUCUCUCACUUUAAAACCCUUGAAAAAUCUUACUUUCAUACUUUCUCUAGCUAGGUGUUUAGAGAGAGAAAGAAAGAGCUUUUAUAAUAGCUUGGAAAAUUAUUAGAAAGAAUUUCAUAUUUACAAAGCUACCAAGGUUCUAACAAAGCCCCACUGCCCCAUUUGGACCAUUAAAGGAAGUUGGAGUUGAGUAAAGAUUUAACAAAUAUCGGUGAGUGAACUUGCAUUUCAAAAUUGCUUUAGGAAUGUAAAUGUAUUUGCACAAAACAUUUGAAUGAUUUUAUCCAACUUUUCCUUAAAAAUCUACCUAGGGAACAAGCCUUUGGUGAAUGUUUCUAUCUUGUGAAAGUGUGCUAUAUAAUGGUUCAUGUGUUAUCACAAUAUGAUGAUAUGUAUAAUCUGCAUUGGAUGUUCUUUUUUUUUUAUGUGAUAAUGAUGACCCAGCUCUAUGCGUGUGGGAGUGCACAUGAGCUAAUGAUGACCCAACUAUGUGCGAUGUGGAGUGCACAUGAACUGACGAUGAUCCAGCUAUGUGCGGUGUGGAGUGCACAUGAGCUGAUGAUGGUGGGAUGGUAUACAUGAUGAUGUGUAUAUAUAUCUAGAUAAAUAUGUGUGUUAUAGAAAGUUCAUGAGUAUGGUAUAUGGUUGUAAUACAUGUAAAUCUUGCAUGUUAAACCUUGGAAAUUUCUAAGCAUGUUCAAGUUGAUUUUGUCUUUGCAGCUAAAUGGCAUUUCUUUGAAAGAAUGAAAAUUUAUUGUUGGUGUCUUGUUUCUCGCUGCAGUGAAAAACUCUCGGGUUUGGAGGGUUACAUUGGCUUGAUUCUCGCUGCAGUGAGAAAGUUGCUGAAGCUCCUCGCUGUAGCUAGAAACAUUUUGUUUCUGCUACUUGCAACUUGCUGCAGUGAGAAACUUUCUGUUUUGGCCGCCUGAAUCUCGCUGCAGCGAGAAAGCAUUCUCGCUGCAACGAGAAACUUUCUGUCUAGCAUGCUACCUUGUUGGUUUUUGCCACAUUUUCCAUUUCAGUAAUACCAUAGUUGAUCAUGGACUCCCAACAUUAAGGAAUUUAUUUAAUUAAGUUUAAGAUGAGGGCUUUUAGAGAGAAACCCUCGUCCAGUUGAUAAUUGAGCCCAAAUUUCACUGCAGUGAAAAUUCAUUCUCGCUACAGCGUAUCCGCUGCAACGAGGACUCGUCGUUUUACUUGACUUGACUUGACUUGCUUGCAUACUAUUAAAGUUUCCACUCUUUGAAUCCUUUGUUGUGCAUGGAUCAUUUUCGCCAAGUGAUUAACUCAUUAAGGGUUUAAUGAGGGGUUUUAAUAAGAACUAAACUAAAUUGCAUUGUUUUUGAAAAUAAAUGCAUCAAGUUUUUUUUUAAAUUUUUCUUAUCGUUUGCUUGUUCCCUUCUUAUAUUCACUCACUGGGUUUAUACUCACCAAUUUCAACUUCAUGUUUUCAAAUCAAGAGGUAGCCGGUAACUAGGUCGAGGUGUCCUUGUAUAUUCGCAUCCUUGGUAGGUAUCUUGGCAUUCCGUAGCCGUACCUUCACCUUGGUCACUCCGUUAGAAGCCCAAAGUUAUUUUUUUUGUUGUAAAUACAUACAUGUGAUGUAAAGUACUAAGAUGUAUGCCUUAGACCUUAUAUGUAUAUUUUGAUUGGUAAUGCCACGACGAGUUGGCAAUCGUUAUCAAUAUUUCGAAUUGAAAUUAUGAAAUGUGACUUUAGCAACUUUGAUGGAAUAAUGAACAAGUCAUAUAGAUAGGCUUGCUUGGGCUUAGUGGGCUACGUCCAUUAGGCCCAUGCUUCGGUCAUAGCCCAAAAAUUAGGUCGUGACACACUUGUUCCAAUUGCCAUGAUAAGCCACCAUUUAUAUUGCCACGUUACAAGAACAUAGGCAAACAUUAAAAAGGCCAAGACUUGGCCAAUAUCUUUGUAAUACCUUGUACUUUGAUAUGGUGGCUAAUAAAUCUUACGGAUGCCAAUUGAGGUUAAUUAUCGCGUUAAAAAGGUGAUUCAGAAGUGAACCUAUGAAACGUCAACCUCUAUAGACCCGUAACUAGCAGUAGAGCGAUGACACGGACUAGGGGUAAUUUCAUCAUUUUUCAUGGUGAGCUCUUGGAAGUAGCUCUCAAAUGUUAUUAAGUUCUAGAUAGACCUAAAGAAUAAAUGAAUGAUGGUAAAAUCAAUGAAGAAGAUAGAAAUAUCGAUAAUUUGCAUGGUGGGGGCAAAACGAUCACUUUGCAUCUCGAGUAAAAAAAUUUUUAAGUUUUCAUGAACCCGAGUAUUUUUAGACUAUUAUGAACUUUGUCUCAAUACCAGAGAAGUAAAACAAUUAUACAAAGGUAAGGGGAAGACAAAGUGACCUUGGUAAAGGCAUUUUGGUAAUUUCGUGAAAAAUUGGAUAAACAUUAAGCAUAAAUAUCUAAGUUUCUAGUAACUUCUUCUUCUUCUUCUUCCCCUCUUACGUUUUCUCACUUUCCAUGGAAGCUUACUUUGAAACCUCCAUAAAUUUUCUCAAAUUAACCUCAAUUUUCAUGCUUUUGUGCACUUUUUAACAAAGUCCUUUGUGCUUUCUUACUCUUUCACCUUAAAAUCCUCAAAAACCUUUCCUUAAUACUCUUUCUCACUAGUUGGAUGCUCUAGAGAAAGAAAGAAAGAUUUUUCACAAUAGUUUGAAAGCUUUUGAAAAGCAAUUCAAUUACAAAGCUACCAAGGUUCCAACGAGACCCCACAUCUCCAUUCGGACCAUUAGUGGGAGUUGGAGUCGAUUUAAGAAUCAACGAGGACUGGUGAGUGAACUUACAUUAAAAUGCUUUGGGGUAAAUGCACAUAUGUUUGAAUGAUUUACUGGAAAAGUUUUAAUUGUCUUUUUCUUUAAAAUGUAUACAGGAACAAGCUCUUGAUGAAAUUUUUGUGUUGUGAAAGUGUGACUGUGAUGAGUCCACGUACUCCUUUAUUAUGUUGAUAUACAUAUAUAUGUGUGUUGUGCCUUGAUAGGUGAUAUCGUGUAAUAAAUAUAACCGUGCGUGUGCAUGGAAGGAAAUCACAUACUGGUAAUGAUGUGGGCGAGAGUGUGUGUGAUGAUAUCGAAGUGUGCGUGUGGGGAGUGCACACGAUGAUAUUGAAAUGUGCGAGUAGGGAGUGCACACGAUGAUAUUGAAGUGUGUGAGUAGGGAGUGCAUACGAUGAUAUAGAAAUGUGUGAGUAGGGAGUGCACAUGAUGAUAUUGCCCCGUGCAUGUAGGGAGUGCACAUUGGCUGAGUGAGGUGGUGGUAUUCAUGUUUAUAUAUGCAUAUAUGCAUGUGCAAGAGAAAGUUAUGAAUAUAGUAUGUGGUUGUAAUGCAUAUGGAAUCUUGCAUGUUGAACCUUGAAAAGUUUGUUAAGUAUUUUCAAAUUGAAUUGUAUUGCAGCAAAUGGCCUCUUUUUGUUAUGAAAAGAAACUCUUCCUUGGUUGUUCUGAUUCUCGCUACAUGAGAAUGAUUCUCGCUGCAGCUAAAAACUCUAGAAUUUGCAAGGUUGGCCACGGUUCUGCUUCUCACUGUAGCGAGAAACCUCCUGUCAAGCUUGCUACCUUGCUUGGCUUCUGCCAUAUUGUCUACUUCUUUAACAUCACGGUUGAUCAUGGAUUUUCAACAUCAAGGGAUUAAUUAAUCAAGUUUGAAAUGAGGUGUUUUAACAAGAGCUUAAACUAAAUUGCAUUGUUUUUGAACUUAAGUGCAUCAUGAUUUCUAAAUCUUCCUUAACGUUGCUUGUUCCCUUCUUAUGUUUAGUCACUAGGUUUAUACUCACGUUUUUAAACUUCAUGUUUUAGGUUUUCUAAGUUAAAGGUGAUUGGAUCCUAUGACGAGGUGCUCCUCCCUAUCCAUUGCUCGGUAGGUUUAACAUGACACUAAAUAUUAGCAACAAUGUCCUGAGUUACUCCGUUGACAAUCAAGGUCUAAUUAUGUGUAUGUGAAUACUUAUGUGAAAUACUAAGAUUCAAUUGUCAAGUUGUAUAUGUAUAUUAUGGUUGAUGAUGCCAUUAAGAAUGCAUAAUUGGGUUUUAUAAAUUGUUUUCAAAGGAACGAUAUUCGAACAUUACGAAUUUUAGAUUCUAAAGAAAUAUGGAUUAAUGUAUAAGAUUAUAUAAAUAGGCUUGCUUGGGCUUAAUGGGCUGAACCCAUUGGGACCUUAUGCUGGUCAUGGCCCGUAAAUUGGGCUUUGACAAACUUGGUAUCAGAGCUCUAGGUUUAGUUGAGUCCUAGAGUUUCUUGUGUCAGUUAGCGGAGUUGUCAGAGUUAAUGUAGAGUCUUGUUUAUGGUUUGUGACUGCAGCACAAGUCAUAGACAGGAGGUUACAUAAACUCUUAUUCUUGGUAACCUACCUUUUUGCUAAUGUCAUAUAAAGGUCAUAAGAGGUGCCGUUGUCCGGGUUUGAGAUGCCAUUUGAGACACGAGCUGUUGUUGGUAAGAUUUUAAAGCAAAUGCUCUUAAUGAAUGGUUACUAUAAUGACGUAUCCCUCCAGCUAAGGAUGAAGGGAAAUGUAGCUAGAAUAAUAGGUCCGUAAUAACUUAGUCAUUUAGCGGAGUUAUAAUUUGAGCCCAUGAUUGUCAAUGGAAAGACAAUUAGAUGACUAUGGAUUGCAUUAAGGUCAAUAUAGAGGAGCAUGUGUGAUAAUGGUAAUCAGGGGCAUACUUUGGCCGAAAAAAAUAGUUAUCACUGUAAUUCACUUGAAGUUUACAAAUCUAAGCAUUGAGAGAGAUAUAAACCAAUAGUUAUGUGCACGGGGGUGAGUGCACUAUGUUAAUUAAGCUUGUUUUGCUCAUAUAUAAAUGGUGUUGGGCCUCUAAAAUAUUUUAUAUGUGAAUAUGUGUUGAAUAUGUGUAUAGCAGCUUAGAUGGAGUUGGCUUUGAUUUCAAUUAAGUGACUGUGAGAUCUCAAGAAUCGAUUUGAACUAUUAUGAUGUAUAGUUAUAAGUACAUGAAUUAAGUCAAGAAUGAAAAAUCAAUGACUAUUAUAACUCAUGUGUGGUCAACAAGUAAAAAGUUAGUAAACAAAUAUGCUCUAAGGAUGAGCUUGAAAUUGUUGUGCUUAGCGUGAAGUCGAAGGAUUAAAGGGUUAGCUAUGGAUUUGGUAGCUUGAAGUUAAAUGACUUAAAAAUAUUGAUUUUAGUCUAAAUGCCAUAUGGAGUCCUAUAUUUGAGCUUGAUACACAAAUUGCUUUAAAGAUCGAUUUAGGGGUCUAUUUGGAUUAAUUAUGCAAACUAUGAUGAAAAUGAUUAGCCUUGAAUGUGACUUCUCCAAAGGUAAGGGACUUGGGAAAUAUGGAUUGUUGGAUAAGCUCAAAAAGGGAGCUUCUGCAUCAUAAGUUUAAGAAAAUUUUGAUUUUUAUGAUCACAAAGGCAAGACGCAAAAAUUAAGUGAAUUGCCUAUUGUUCAGAUGUAAUUGGUUAAGAAUUGAUGAGUAGAGCCAAGAUCUCAACACUAAGUGGUGUACAAUUUGAUAUAUGUGUAUCUAAGAGUAAAUUUGGAGAUCAUUGUUUAAUCAAAUUUGUGCCAAAUGUUAUGGUAAAGGUAUAUGAAUGCUAGUAAUGAACUAUGCCCAAAGGAUAAUCUAGGCAUACCACAAAGGGUCAAUGGGGAAUAGAUAUGUCGAAAUUGAGGAAAGUAAGAAGGGGCUCUUACUCUUGGUAAGGGAUGUUGACAUCUAAAUGGAUGUAUAUAUGUAUAUGUGGAGUUACUCAUGUCAUCGGUGGGAAUAAAGAAUUAUUCUUAACGAUUUGAGAUUUGAACACAAUGUGCUUGAUAGGUUGCAUUGAUGGUAUUAUAAGAUACUAAUUGACAUAAUAUACAUUAUUGGAAAUAAUUAUGAAAAUGGGGGAAGAAUAAAUUCUAAAAUUUCGAAGUAAUAAUGUGAACAUAAGUGGAAUGAUCAAGAUAGACCAAAUUCAUAAUGAUAUUAAGUUGAAGUGGUUAAACUAUUUGAGUUAUAAGAUAAGAAAGACAAUUAGUUGUGAAUACUAAAGAGUUGUGGAACACUAGAAAUAGUGAAUAAUGAUGUGUGUGGUGUUAUACGUAUAUGGUGAAGUCAUUAUACAAUAUGAAAACAAUGUUCUAAGGUGGGAUUUAUUGAUGGUUGACAAGUGUUAAAGAAUGAGAUGAAUUUGAAAAUAUUGGCCUGGUCUAUUAUAUGUGAUAAGCAUAAGAGAAUAUAAAUGGUUAUGAAAAUUGUGACGUAAGCCUAGAGGAACACCAAACGGUUGAGGAUGAUUAAUGUAGUAACCUUAAAUUUAGACAAAUAGCGUUGAUUAAGUAAACUUCAGCAGUCACCGUGCCGUAGCGCUAGGAACACCUCAUGUUUAAGACGCAUGAAUAAGAUGUCAAAGGCAUGAAGUUGAACUUACAAAUUGAAUUAAGGCCAUUGGACUUGAUGAUACGCUUCAUUAAUCAGAGUUUUAAGGUUUUGGAAGGUAUUUAUAUGAAUGAAUUGGGAAGUUUCUUUAUGGCCUUCUAUAUUGGCAUGUAGGUAAAUGAGAAGUUGGAGAGUUUUUGAUAUAAAUUACCAUGUGAAAUAUUAAGAUAAACAUUAUGCUGACUAAAAUCAAACCCUAAGAAAUAAGAGAGACAAGAGAUUAAGCCUUAUUAAAGACUAAGGAAAGAGUGAACGGAAAGUAGGGUAAAUGAUGGGAGAAAUGUGGAUGUUGUUAUAACGAACAUAAUAAGAUUAAGGAUAAUCAAUGCAAGUAUACUAAGUUAGAUGGUAUGGUCAAGAUUAAGAACACAGACACUUUGGAAGAUCUUUAAAUAAUGUCUGUCGAGGUCAAUAAGCAAAAAUUAAGCAUACAUUAAAUUGUUAAAGUUAUGAGUGGCUUUGAAGAUAAGUCUUUGAUUGUUUAAGUUCUCAAUAAAACCCUAUUAAAGGAAGUGUUUAAGCGUUUUGGAAGUGUAUCGAAAAGCAUAAGGGAAUAUACUAGCUUAACUUGCUAUAAAAAGUCAAAUUUGGAUGGCCUUGAGUGGCUUGUGAGUAACCCAACAAUGUACAAGUAAAUGUGCAGCAGAGCUAUGAUUGAUAGAUAAGGAUAGAACUUUAACGAUAAGAUGGUGUUCAUUGCUUUAGGCAUUGAACUAUAAGUUAUGGACUUAUAACCACUUUGUGAACAUUCUGGUGAGAUAAAUUCGUGAGAUUUCUCACAAUGGGAAAAACGUUAAAGCUCAAAGAGUGAAUGGCUAUAUAGUUAAGUUAGGGCUCGUGACUGAUAUGUCACAUAAGUAUAAAAAUAUGCUUCAAAUGUAAGGAUGCCUGGAAAUGUUGGUUUAAGGCAAUGAUUAUCUUGUCGUUGGGUAGACCUGAUGAGGUUAUGGUCUCGAUAUACUUGUAGACGCAAGGCAUAAAUUGUGAAAUGUGCUUUCCCCACAAGUUCAAUUUUUUUUGAGUAAUUAUCAAGGGAAAGUGCCUGAUAAGGGUAGGCAAAGGUUGAAUUGUGUUUCAAAUGUUUAGCGAACGAGGGUGAUACGAUUUGAUUAAAUGAUACUACUACUAGUGAAGGAAUAGAAGUACGCUAUGGAAAUUGUAGAGAUCUACUUAGAAAAGAGAUGAUAAUUUGAGAAUUCAAGUACUCAUACACGAGUAAAGAUUUGGUAAUGAGACAUGACCUAGAAUUGGAAUACUACAAUAUGAAUUUUGGCUAAGAAAAUCAACUAUAAAAUAAAUGGUGUUUGGGGAUGGUGCCAAUUAGUGGUUGACUCUUAUAUGAGAACGGAAUAUUGAAAUCAGCUUUGUGUGUUCACCACAAAUGAUGAGCAUGAUCUAACCAACUAUAAGAAGAAAUGAUUCUAAACUUGAUUGUCAAUUAUUUUGGUUUUACAGAUGGCUUAUUGAGCUUGAUAUGCCUAAGGUUACUCGAAUUUGAAAUUUUUGGAAAUAUAUAUUUAUGGAUAUAUAUGUUGCAUAUUGGUAUAAAAGCUCAUAAGGGUUGGUUAUAAUUUGAUUCAAUGAUGACAUUCUAUCAAUGGUUAUAGUGCUAGACAAUAAUUAAGAUAAUUUAUCACUGAUUUUGGUAGUGAACAAGUUGAUUAUGAUGCUCUUAACUUAAAAGUAAGGAUGAACUUGAGGAUUCUGAUGAUUAUAUUGAUGAUGGACUGAAUGUCUUUUAGAAUGGAAAGGAAUUUGUUGUAAUUGCUGCUGAUUUAGGGAGUUUACUCAAAAUUAAGUGUGAGGAGGGUGAGUUUGAAUUGUUUGAAAAUUAUGACCCCUUAUCCCUGUGGGAAAUAAUCACAAGAAAGAAGGAAAAAUACUCUUUCGAAAGUAAUGAUGAUCUAAUUACAAGUCCUCAAAUCAGAAUUUUGCACUACUUUAUUGCAGCAAACAUUCAUGGCAGAAGUGGUAGUUUUAGCUACAUUAGCCUUCAAAGACUUAUGGCUAAUAGAGCAUGCCUUUAGUGGCACUCCACUUAAUCUAGGCAAAUUUAUGAUUAAAAUGAGAGAGGAGCCUAUCAAUGAGACAAAAAUAAAUUUGCCUUAUGGAAAUGCUAUUACUUCCCUGGUUCAAGAAAAGGGAAUAUAAAGCUCAAGGUAUCAAAUAGAUUUAGUGAAAAGCAGGGACCAAGCAAUUUACCUUGGGAGUUUGCCAAAAAUGGGGUAUAAGCUUGAUGGAGAGAAAUAUGUUAAAACCCCAAGGCUACUUCUGGAAAAAAGUCUUCACUCCAUACUCAACCAAAAACAGCUCCUUCACAGUUCUCUAAUGAAAUACUUUUCAACCUGCUCAUGAGGAUGGAUGGAAAGAUGACUGACCAAGGAGUAAGGAUGCUGAAAAUUGAAGAGAAAUUGGUAAAGCUUGAAAAUGUAUAGAAAGAAAAAGGAAAAAUGCCUUUUGAACCUGCAACUGCUAAUACCUUUGCAACUCCAAGUCUUGUAGAAAGACAAGGUGCUGAAAGCUCUGCUUUCUAUGUCGAGGGUCAUGAAGCUGAAGUAGAUCAAGCAAGGAAAACCCCCUCACCUGAACCACAAAAGGAAGCUAAAUCAGAACAAGGAACUAAGGUGCUUGGCUCAUUGGAUAAAAAUCCUCCAUCUCCUUCAGAACCUCAAAAAGAGCAGCUUUCUCCUUCUCAUUUUGAGGAAGUAUCAAUCAUGGACAUUUGCUAUCAGAUGGUCAGGGAAGAGCAGGCAGAAAAAAAAAGCAGCUAAAGCACAAGCACAAAAGUUUGCAUUCACUGAACCAACUCCCACAACAAAAGAGCAAUCGAGUAAAGAGAAAGAAAAAGCUACAGCAGCUCCACAGGCCAAAUCAAAACCACUUGAUAAAGGCAUGAAGACAAUGGCAACCAAGACCAAAUUCCUCAAGAGACGUAAAUCCUCUAGAAUAGCUGAAAAAGCUAGACCAUCAACCAUCUUUUCUCCUCAAGACCCCCUUAGAGUUUCUGAUAAAUCAUCACUUGAACCCUCACCACAGAAAUCACCUCCAGAACCAUCUCCUGAACCCCUUAAUGUUUUCUAUGGCAUUAAUGAGUCUACCCCGUCACCUUCUUCAGAAGAUGAUUGAGCGUCCUUAGGAUUUGAUGAUGACAAAAAGGGGGAGAAUCGUGGUAGAAAAUUUAGGGGAGAACUAGGGGUAAUUUAAGAAUAUUGACUUUUGUUUUUUUAUUUUUUGCUAUUUUUGCUUUGAAAAUUAAACAAUUAAAUUUGACUUUGAUGAUAGAUGUUUUUGGAUGCUGAUAGACAUUGUUGUUUAUGUUUUUGGAUGUCAACAAGUUGGAUGAUGAAUAUUUAAAUCUAUCAUUGAAGUUUUUACCAUUGAGUUUCUGUUGCUGCUUUGGUGCUGAUAUUGGGUUGUCAUGCUGAUGAUUGAUCUUUAAUAUGAUAAUGUGAAUGGAUUGUGUUUGUAAAUGAAUAUGGAUGUUAUUUAUACUAUACUUGUUGGAUGAUAAAUGGCAUAAAUAAAAUCUGGUAACAAUAUGCUAUUGACAGACACUGCUGAUGUAUUGAUGAUAAUCUGUCAACAGUCACCUACUGUUAAUUACUGUAUAUAUUUGCAUAUAUAUAUUCUGAAUAUAUAAUGUCAUUAUCUAUAUGACAUGAAUAAAAAUUUGCUAAAAUAAAUAAGUAAAAUAAGCACACACUAAGGAGGAGCACUCACUUAGGGGGAGAAAUUCUCAUUUUUUGUGCAGUACUAAAAAGAUUAAAUGGACAUUGUACAGUUAAUCAAGGAAUGUUUUGUCAUCAUCAAAAAGGGAGAGAUUGUUAGUUCCAUUAGUUUUUUUUUAUAAUAAAACAUUCUCAUUUUUUUGUAUCUAAUGUUUCUACUUGAGUGUGCAAGACAAGAAUUAUAUGCUAAUGAUAAAUAAAUUAUUCCAUGGGACAUAUCAAAAAGGUAUAUGAAUAAGAAGCCACAACUAAUCAAGAAAACAAAAGCUCUGUAGAUGAAUAAAGAAGGGUUAGUCAGCUAAAAUUCAAAUCAGAAGUUGGUGGGCUAAAAAAUAUUGAGAAAUAGAAAAACCUUAGUCGACCAAGAAAUGGAUUAGUCGACUAAGAAGCUACUGCCAAAAAUUUGGACUUCAAAACAAAACCGACUUAGUCGACCAAGAUGUAAUUUGGUCGAUUAAGUGUUCACUACCAGAAACUGAAAAUAGAAAAUAGAGACAACUUAGUCGACUAAGACAUAAGUUAGUUGACUAAGAGUAUUCUGUCAGAAAAUUUAAAUUGUGCACUAGAGGACAAAUUAACAGCCAGAACUACUACCAAAUUAUUUCCAACAGUCAAAAACUAUCUAACCCACAUCAAAGCUGAUUUUUCAAGUAUAAAAGGGACUUCCAACAGCUAGAAAAGUAGAUUGAAGGCUUCCAAGUCCAAAAAGAGCUCAAAAACUAGAAAAAACUCUCUGCUCACUUACUGCACUCAACUUCUAUCCUUGUAAUUGUGAUAUGCACUUCAUUUUGUACCACUUAGAUCAACCUUGUGAUCAUAAGUACACUCUUACCACUUUUCUCCAUGCAUUCUUAGAGUGAGCAGGUCACUCUAAAAGAUUAAUUCAAGCUAGGAUUACUUGAUUGAGCAAAGGUUCUAACUUAGCCUUGAAAAGUUAGGUGUUGGGUUUUAGUUGAUCCUGGUAAAAACUAUUGUGAAAGGUUUUGGCUAAGCCUGGUAAAAGUCAUUGUAAAAGCUAGGUCAAAGCUUGUGAAUUUCACCAUUCUUAGUGGAUUGAUUGGAAAAUCCUUGGUUGAGCAAUCAAGGUAGUGGAUGUAGGUCUUGGACCGAACCACUCUAAAUUUUACUGUGUUGUCUACUCUAUUUUUGUUCUUAUUUUCAUUCCUUCUUUUCACUCGCAUUUGUUCCCACUUAGAGCCAAUUUUUGAAAGAGCCAAAUUAUGCUAUUCACCCCUCCUCUAGCACAUUUACUUGGGACCAACACAAACUGUUGGAACUUUGGUGGCUGAUAGUUUAGUGGCAUCCUCAUGCUAUCAAUCCUCUAAGAAUAUGGCUUGGCAUAAGUGUAUGAAGGUUGAGAGACAUUCUCCACCUGUUCCUUGAUGGCUUCCUUGAUGAAUUCUUUUAAUUGGUUAGUGGUGACCACUUCAUUAGAUUUUUGUUGGGGAUUAUUUUCCAUUUCCAUAGUGGAAUUCUCCUCAUUAUCUUGGCGUUGAUUUUGACCAAGAUCCACUAGUGCCUUUUCAGUAAGGCUACUAAUUUUUGCCAUCAUUGAGGCAAUUUGUUCAUCCUUUUCUCUGAUGCUUGUUGUCAAAGAUUCCACAGUCUUCACAAGAAGUGCAACUUGUUCUUCUAGAGAUGUUGUUCCAGUUGUCAUGACAACCAUCAUUCCAGAAUCUACUUUGACGAAGAACUUUGGCGAAGGGAUGAUGAAACAGAGCUAUUGCUUGAGUAGCCAUCAUGUUCCUUGAGUUGAUUAGUACUUGAUCCUUUGGAGGAAGCAAGGUGCAUAGUAAAGACUUCUUCAAAACUUGGGGAAGAAGCAUCAUACAAAGGAUUUUGGUUGAAGACGGGGAGAGUUUGCUAAUACAAUUUAGUAAAAGCUUCUAUCUUUCUCCAAGUACCAUAUGGAUGUGUUGGAACAUCUGUGCUUGAUGAUGAGGUUGGAAAGACUGCAAGAUUUGCUCUAGCAGGCUUGACAGCAGGUUUAUUGGUAAGAUUCUUUUUAGGAGUCAUUUCAACUUGGAGAUAUUUGGAGAUUUGCUUGAAAAAAGAAGAUGAGAGGCAGAAAUUGUCCCACUGGGCGUGUAAGAAAUUUGUACACACAAAUUUCUCGUUGAAAUUUCUUGACUUGAAAAUUAUGAGACAAAUAAAAAUAUUUGAUGAUGUGAGUGAUGAUCUAUGAAAAUUCCUCUAAUUAAUUUCUUCAAUUCGUCUUCAAGAGUCACAAACUUGGACUUAGUCUUGAUUGCGAACUUGCUUGAUCUUCGCUUCAAGGGUCUUCACGACUUAAUCUUGAUCACGAACACUUGAUCUUCGUUUCAAGGGCCUUAACGACUUAAUCUUGAUCACGAACACUUGAUCUUCGCUUCAAAGGUCUUGAUGACUUAAUCUUGAUCACGAUCACUGUAUCUUGAUCACGAUCACUGUAUCUUGAUCACGAACUUCGCUUAAUAUCUUAAUCGCAAACUUCUCUUGAUAUCUUGAUCAUGAGCUUCGCUUGAUAUCUUGAUCACGAACUUCGUUGUUGCUUGAUUUUCACUUCAGAAAUCUUCUAUUCUUCUUGAUCUCUGAAAUGAUCUCAAUCUUCGAACGCCUCCCAAUCUUCAAAUGCCUCCGAAUGAAUGAAAAUGGUUUAGGGUAGCCCCCUAUUUAUAAUGUUUGGUGGGAGACUUUGAUGAGAAUGUAAUCUCUUUGAAUUAUCUCUAAAUUAUUUUAAUUUAUUUAGAGAUAAAUUAUGAUGACUCAUUAAAAGUUUUUUGAUUGGCCGAACCUUGAGUCCAUGAAUUUUGAUUGGCCGAAGUUAGGUAUUAUCUCUGAAUUAUCUUAAUUUAUUUAGAGAUAAAUUAAAUAAUUAAAUUUGAUUUUUAUCUCUAAAUUAUUAUAAUUAUUAGAAAUCAAUUAAAUGACCAAUAAUUAAAUUUUGAUUGGUCAAAAAUAUGAAUAUUAUCUCUAAAUUAUUUUGAUUUAUUUAGAGAUAAAUUGGAUGAACAAUAACUAAUUUUUUAUUAGUCAAAAAUAUAAAUAUUAUCUCUAAAUUAAUUUGAUUUAUUUAGAGAUAAAUUGGAUGAUCAAUAACUAAUUUUUUAUUGGUCAAAAAUAUGAUAAUUAUCUACCAAUAGGUGAAUUGGUUCAACUAUAUGUUUUUUAAAUAAUCCAACCAAUAAAUUAAUUACAUGGUUAUUAAAUCCAUGUGGCAGCACACAAUUGGUUAAUAAUUUUUUUCUCUUUCUAGAGUGUUUCCUAAGUAUACACAACUGUGUUGCAUACAACUCCCCUCGUCAUAAAUCUAUGAUGUGCAUGACUCACUAUCAUGCGUCCUGUGUCUAUGUGCUCUUCUAGCAUGCAAGUUUUCGAUCUGCAUGGUCCAUGUGUGCUCCUUGCACAUGUGCAGCACUCGAGUGUGCAAUCUUUUUACAUUCUUAAUGCCCAUGCUAUAGAGCUCGUUUAGGUGCACCUUGCUAGUACGGCUUAACUUUGUAAGUGUGCAGAGUGUUCAGAAACCCCCAAUCAAUGGUGGCCUGAUGUUGGUUGUCGAUGGGCCCCCAAGUGAUGUCGACCCAAAGCUGAUUUGAGCCCUUGUGGCAUCUGCAACACAUAGGUGUGGUGUUGAUUUAAGACUUCCAUUGGCUUGGAUUGGUCUCAAAUUCAUAAACCGUGACAUUCUCCCUUAUUUGAUUCAAGCAACACCCUCGUUGCCUUAAGGUCUCUCCACCACAAGUCUUCUUUGGGGUCCCCAUUAGCUUCGAGUGUUAGUUUGAUGCAGCUCCUCAUUGGUUGUCUCGAAAACACUUCCAACUCUAGAUGAUCAGACGAAUGCAAGUAGAACGGGGUUUUGGUAUCAAUUGUGAUGUUUUGUGCAUUCACAAUGGAGCACCAAACCCUCUUUAGUUGCUCACCCAUCUCAAUUGCUCCUUGAAGCAUAUCUCAAAUGUGUACCAAUAACCAACUCGCCAAAAUAUAUUGCAUUCAUAGCAAGACAUAUCAUAUUAUACGAAAUACAAUAUAAGAGUGGUCUUUCCUACAAAAUAUUAGAAUCAUCGCCCGGUGGUCAACUAAUGGUAAAACAAAUCACAUGUGGCGCAAAAGUAAUCGACGAAGAAUAAAUCAUGUAUAGGCCGAAGUUGUUGAUGGAGAAAAAAUCACGUGCGACACCAAAGCUACUGACAGAGAACAAAACACGUAUGGCGUCAAAGUUGCCAAAGGAGAACAAACCACGUACGACGUCAAAGCUACCGACAGAGAAAAAAUCACGUAUGACCCUGAAGUUCCCAACAAAUAACAAAUCAUGUACAAUGCCAAAGUAGUCGACAAAGAAUAAAUCACCUAUGAUGACGAAAUAGCUAACAGAAAACAAAUCACAUACAACCUUGAAGCAAUUAACAAAUAAUAAUCACAUGGAAAGGACAUCACUCUCCCAUAACUAGAUCAAUGACGUGGUUGAAAAGGAAAAAAAAAAAAGCUAGGUUAGGAACGUGCUAUAAUACCACGAAAAAUAAAAUGUCUCAAAGAAUAGAAUCAGGAAAACCUUUUUCGAUGGAAAAUGGAAUCAGGAAAACCCUACAAUGAAAUAUAAAAGGACUAUUUAUAGAGAUUGUUCAUCAUAAACCUAUUUAUAAUGCAAGUAAAUUUAAUAAGGAGUUAUUUUAAUCCUAGACUUCCUUGGAGUCAUGUAAAGUAAAUAACAAAAAAAUAAAGGUCCUAAAAACUAGGCUUACUUGUUGUGAAAGCAAAGCAAUCAACAAGUAAGGAAAACAAAAAUAUGGAAAGUAUUCUAAUCACCUUGGAAUACUUUACUUGGUUACUAUUCUUCUUAACAAUUAUCGGACACCCUUCAUGUGAGUUGUCCUAUGCAUAUGGGUUUUGUGCGCAUGGCUCUCUUACAUGUGUGGCCCAUAUCCUAAGUUAAUUCUCCUUUAAACUUUGUUGUUUAUGUUGCCAAAAGCAUAUUUGUUCCACUACUUGAAAACACCUUUAAGCCAAUUUAAUUUGAACUUAGGUAUGUGUCAGAAGCAUUCUUACCCUUGUCAUCUUUUAUUUUAUUUCCACCAAACCUAAGAAGUCAAUAACCUUUAGCUAACAAUUGAAAAUUUGAAAAGGGUGAGUCACCAAUCUACCUCCUUCGCUAGUAAAUUGAUGGAGUAGCGAUCUUAAAUGUGUCUUUUGAGAGCUCUUUAAGAUAGGUUGCUAUAUUGAAAUAGUCAUUCUGAAUUGAUCAACAAAUGGUCCAAUCUACUUAUUUUCACCCCCAUUCCGUACCACAUAAUUUUUUUCCCCUAUAAUGGUAAAUCAAUAAACUCCCAUUUAUCGAUGAGUCAUUAAACUCUUCAAUUCCACUCCUCCCACAAAGCCUUUUCAUUCAUCAUUGUUUCUAGUUGUAUUCCAAUCACUAGCACAACAUAGUUUCAACAUCAAUAUCUCUUCCCACAACUAUUUUUUAUCUUCAACUUGGCACGACACAUAAGUGUUCAAUAUCACACAUUCAAAAUUUUCAACAACUUACUUGCAUUUUAUCAUAAUAAAUAUAUCUUUUACCAUUUCACUAAGCAUUUGCUAUCCCAUAUAGCUAAAAAGCCCCCUAGAUUUCCAUUCGAGGGGCUUUGGACACAUUCUAGCUCAUCUUCAUGCCAUAACCUGCCAAUCUUUUGAUUAUAGCACUUAGUCAAUUUCAUUUCUUAUAACAAAAUCAUAUUUGCCUUAGCUUGGUUCGUCAAUUCUCUGACCAUGUGUGAGUUGAUGUUAUUGCCAAGACCUCGAAUGAAAUUAUUCUAAUGGUACCAAUAAAUAAAACGGUGAAAUUGAACAUGAUUCAAACAAUAGUUGAGCCCAUCUAUCAAAAUGUAUCAAAAGCUCUAACAAUUUCCACAAAAACAACAAUAAUUCGUAGAAGUCACAAAAUACUGAAAAAGUUAGAGAGCUAAAAUAUAGAACAUGUCAUAAACAUUUAUUCAUAAUACAAAGUAAAAUUUACACAAUCAAUUGGGUCUUUCUUUUCAAGCCUUACUAUCUCACCUACGACUUCUUGUUAACCACCAAAGGGAGAAAAGCCUAAUUGUAGUCCCAUGUUCCAAAUGCCCUCUACUUCUCGACAAAUGGCAGCAUUUAUGUUACAAAAAUGCCCUAUGAUAAUGAUUUUUUGACUACAUUCCUCUCCAAUUAGAUGUUUUGUAAAUUUAGGCUCUCCAAAAUUCUCUUACCCCGUCAUCUUUUACAUUUUUUCUUGCCCUUUUUCCCUCCUUUUAGCACCUUUUGUUGUUGAAUUUGCACACGCAAGUAUACGUAUUGAGCAAGUAAUAUAGACAGUAAGUCUAGAUUAUCAUUCCAUAAGGAUUUGUUUCUAAAGUUUCACUAAGUACUAAAAUUAUAAAACAAAUUAAUCUUAUUUAAGUAAUCCAAAAAUUGAAGAAAAAGUUAUUAAAAACAAUUAAAAAUAAACACUAAAUAGACUAACAAACUAAAUAAAUUGAGAAAAGCAGUAUAUUAAAGACUUAAGAUUUUGGGUUCAUUCAACAUUUCAUCUGAUACCAACUUUUCUUGUUAUUUGUCUUUCUUGGGUAGUUUUACUAACCUAGAAUCCAAAGCUAGUGAGAAGUCUCCGUUGAGAUCUUUGCACAAAUACUUAACUUAAUUAGUUUACUAUAUGUCUAUAGGAAUCAACUAAAUUAAGUUCAUUAAGCAAGUGUCCUAAUAUGGCUAUAUAUGGCAAUUGGUGUAUGUCUAUCCAAAUUACAAAUCACAUUACCUAAGUGAACUGAACAUACACUAAUCAAAUUUUAAUCCAACCUAAAAUCUCUCUAGCAAGUUUCAAUUAGAUUCACAAAUCAUUUAAUUGUUGAUCAAGCAAUUAAAAGCAUUAAGGACAAAUUUAAUUAAGUAAAACAAUACCCAUUCAUGAUAAAUAAUAAAAAAUAAUUAUUCAAAUUACAUGUAGAAGUCAACCACAAUCCUAAAUAAACAAAUUAGUUCAUAUAAUAAAAUAAAACACUAUCCAAAGAAUUAUAGCCAUCAGUUCAAAACAAGAAUUAAGAAUAACACAAAAGGAGAGAAUUAAACUAAUGUUGAAGCUUGAUUGAUUGCAAAUCUCUCUCGAUUAUUCUAGAAUUCUUGAUUGAUUCAAAGCUCCAAUUCUUUAGAAAGCUACUACCGUGCUCUAUGUCGAAUGCUCUUCAAAUAAUCUCUUAAAUAUGUGCACGAUGCCCUACUUUUCAAUUUUUCAUCGAAAGUUCAAUUUUGGAAAUCGAGGUGGCGCCACGGCAUCGUGAUUUGCCAUGGGAUUGCCACGAAUCUACUUCUUUAGCACCAUGAUGCUCUGCAGAUGCACAACGCCAUGACCAUUAUUCACUAAGGCUAUGGUGGCAUCACUUGCAGUGCCACAGCGAUGAGUUUCUGGCACCGCGACCCUCUAGACAUGUUACUUUAGUGUAGAGCUAUAUUUGUCCACCAACUUCGAACAUGAUUUUCACCUAGAUUGAGUUCGAACUAGCCAAGUUGUAAACAUAAAAUUUGUAGCCCAUUCUCUUAUAUUUCCAAUGAAUUAAAAAUCUCCUCAAUUGGAGUUCUACAACUCAAGUUAUCGAUAGAUUACUGCAACAUGUAUGAGUGACAAUUUCUCCUCACUUAUGCUAUCAUCUCUUUCUUUCACCUUGCUCAUCAUGUUCAGCACAAAACCAUGAGAAAAAUUGGCAAUAACUUUCCUAAAAUAAAUUGAGUAAAUUAAAAUGAAAUUAAAAUAACAAAAACUAAAUUAACUAAUCAAUAAAAAAUCUAACUUACACUAGAAAAAUAGCUUAAAAGGGUUAAAAUCUAAUCUUAAACUCAAGGGAAUAGCCACUAAAAUCCCCAAAAUGUGGUCAAAAUAACUCUAUGUAAUAGAAUAAUCACACCCCUAAACUUAUAAUUUUGCUAGUCUUUGAACAAAACAAAGAACUAAAUGUAGUAACUUAAACAUGAAACAUAAACAAAAAUAUUCAACUAGAAUUCAGUUGCACCAUUUCAUUCAUUACCUUUAAUAUCCUCAAAAGUUACUUCACAUUCAAAACUCAAAUCCACACACAAAUGUUAUUCAAAUGCAUGUCUCAAUUCUAAUGUCAAUGUAUCAUUCAGUGAAAUUCCGUGUGUGUGUGCAAUCUUUUCACUUAGAACACUGUAAAAUUUGGAUAAGUUUAUAUUCAUGCAUAAUUCAAAUUAGUAAUUAAAUUUCAUAAGUUUGCUUUUCAUCUAUCUCUCCACUAAUAUAGACUAAUACUAAAUUAAGAAUCAAUAGGACUUUAAUUAGCUUGUAAUGUAUGGCUAGGGUUAAGGUGGGAUAUGGGAUGAUGUAUGGUUUUUAGCACCCUAAGCACAUAGUCAAUCUAGGACCUAUUCAAAGCUUCCUUCACCUAGAAUACCUUUUUCAUCAACACUUUUCCUUUGUCAACACUUCAUUCUUUCUUUCCCUUUUUCUCUUUUUUUUCCUCAAUUUCACACCCUCAAACUUAUUUCUUUUAUUGGGUAAUGAAAUGAAUACAAUAAUAUUUCUAAAUUUUUCAUCAAUUUUCAUCUUUACCACCUUUUUCACUAUUUUGCUCCUACAGUUCUUGAAUUGACUCAUGCACUUAGGUAUGAGCGGUGCAAGAAUUGUUGAAAAUAUCUAUAAAAGAGUCUAUGGUAAAACUUAAGUGUUUAGACAAAGAAAAUCUAUCAUUAGGCUCAAAGGGGGAAACUAAGAAUAAUUUAUGUGGAGGGAGGCAACAAAAGGCUCAAUUGGUCCAAAAAUGGCCUAAAUCAUGUCUUUAACUCAAUAAAGCUUAGAAUUUUGUCUCGAGAGAUAAUCAAACAAAUUCUAGAACUUAAUACAUAAUUCAAAAGUUCACAUUCACAUAAACCUUCUCUAAAUACAUACAAUGAAUCUAAGCAAAAGACAUAGUACUCAAAAUGUAGAAAUUUCAUCUUAAGAAUAAAGCUUAACAAGAGAAUUUACAUAACACUCCAACAAUAUUCACAUGUUUCAAAAAGUCAUGAUAGGAAUAUAAUUGAGUUCUCAUCAUUGGAUAGGUAAAUUAAACAACUGGCACAAUUAAUUCUAGUUCAAAUGCAAAUGCACUAAUAUGCAAAAGUAAUGAAAAAGUCCUACAUGACAUUACUAUGCGAUAAAAAAGCUCCCCUAAACUUAAUAUCAACAUUGCCCGCGAUAUAACCAAAAAGUAAGGGAAAAAGGUACUCCCUUGACAUGUCGAAGCCUUGCUAGAUAUCCUCAUCCUCAUCAUCAGCAAGCAAGUCCUUCAUGAUAGGAUCAUCCAAGAAUGUAGGAAAAGUGCUCAUAUCCAUACCAACAAUUUCAAUUCAAUUUUUUACCCACGCAAGUGUACGUAUCAUAAUGAUAAUGUAGAGAUGAGUAGAGUGUCGAUCUCAUAGAGAAUUGAAUUAAUCCUCAUUGCUAACUACUAAAAUUAACACACCCUAAUUUUAUCUAAAUAAUUAAAAUUAAAAAGAAAGAUUUGAAACUAAUAAACUAAUAACUAAAACUAAAACUAAUCUAAAAUCUAUGCAAAUUUAUUUUAUUAAAUUUGAGUGACUAUCAGACCUAAGAUUAUGAUAUCCCUCAAUACUUUAUCUGAAUAUUGUCUCUCUCUCUUAACUUAGUUUAAUGGAUUAAGUUGCUAACCUAGAGUCCUAAAUUAUUUACGUGUCUUUGUCGAGUUUCUCAUAAAAAUUCCUCUCUCAAUUAAUUUACUAUAUGUCUAUGCAAAUUAUAUUGAAGAAAGAUUUAUUAAGUUUGUAUUCUAAUUUUGGCUACGUAUGGUUUACAAGUGUAUGUCUACCUUAUAUGCAAAUCAAACCACCUAAUCAACUAAGUGUAUUUGAUUAUACGCUAUUCUAUUCAAGGUCUACCUAAAUCUCCUUCGUCAAGGUUUAACCUAGGUUUCCAAUUCAAUCUAAUUGAUCGCCAGUCAACUAGAAGCAUCAAGAACAGAAUAAAAUAAAUAACUUAAAUCUAUCAAACAUAAGUAAAAAGAGAGAUAAAUAAAUCAAACUACAUGUUGAGUUCAAUCAUAAUCUUAGAUUAACAAUUUAGUUCCCCAUCAAGUCACAUAUCAUCAUUGAAUAAAGUUUAAACAUUAAGAACAAAACCAAGAUAAUAAGAGAAUAAAAGAAAAGAUAGAAAAACUCAAGAGUUGUAUUCUUGAUCUCCAAAUCUCCUUGAAUCCUUCAAAUUCUUCUUAGCUUCAAUGACUCUGCUGCUUGACUCUCAGCUGUUAAUCUGGUAUUUUUGGUUUUUUCCUUUCAAGUCCUCCGAAAGGUUAUUUUUAUAGGCCUUGAAGUUAGGCCAAGUUGGGUGGAAAAAGAAGUCAAUUUCAGCUGGAAUUUCCUCAUCAGACUAUGUGAGUUGCAGCUUUGCCCAAUUAACUAAUAGAAAUCAUAAUUGCUCUAGGAUUGUUAUAAUAUAUCAUAUUUGACAAGAUUUAUGACCAUCUUCCAGGCAGAACUGGCCAAAGUGGUAAACAAGAAAGUUAUAGAUUUUUCUCUUAUCUUUCCAAUGGUUGAAGAAUCGCCUCAUUUGAAUCUAUGUAGAGAAAGUUAUGGCUAAAAUACCGAAAUAUGUACAGUAAAAGUCUGCACCUUGAAAUUGCUCUCCUUCUUUUACUAAAAUUCUUCUUUCAAACACCUACAAAAGCACAAAUAAUUCAAUAACAACCUAUCUUAUCCACAUUAACACCAAAUUAAGCAUAAAAUUAACCAUGAUUAGAUUGACUCACCUAAAAUAACUAAUUUAAAAUAAUUAAAUAAAAUAUAUUAUUUUAUAUGCAUUACUACAAGCACUACACUAAUUUAUUAUCAAAAUUAAGCUCAAAUAACUCUAUAUCACAGAGUUAUCAUUCAGCAUAGGCACGCCUCAUCUACUCUAUGGACUGCAUACAAGCAGCCUGAUGAUUCAUGUAAAGCUCCAAUCAUUCCAUCUGCUGUGACAUGGACAGAUGUGGAAGUGGCCUCUAAGGUGGUAGACGACGUGGAACCAGAGAAUAACUACCUCCGAUAGUCAACAACUCGUGGUCAUAAAACCAAUUCAUGAUGUCGGCAUCCAAUGGUGCUUUAGGUUGCAAGAUCUCUUCAUUUUUAUCCCAAUGGAUGCCUACUUUCUUGCACAAAGCUGUAAUUAAUGAUGGGUACCACAAUCCAUCGUGAGGCAAACGGGCAGCUUGAAAAAUACUAGUGAAUAUCACUUGGCCCACAUUGAUUGACAUCCUACAAAUAAUGGCAUAUAACAGCAUAGCUUAAUCUAGGGUGACGUCACUAAUAUGUUUCACUGGAAGCAGUCGUGCAGCCAAAAAAUGAUACCAUAGCUUAUGAACUAUCUUCAUAAUGCUAGCUUUAAAAGAUACCAAAAUACCUUUAGCCAUUUUCGAUUCUGCCCCCUCAUCACAAAGCACCUCAAGGACCCUAUCCAAAUCAAUGUCACUCAUCAGGAAUUUGCCAUAGUCAUCAUUCUCAAUGUCUAGUAAGUUAUAAAAUUGAUUGAUGGUGGCACUAUCAAAACGAACCUAACACUUGCUCACAAAGACUUGACCACGAAUGUGUUCAGCGGCAUUGGCAUAGAAUUCUCGAACCACAGGUAACACCGUAGGAUCAGGUUGUUCAGAAAAUUGCUCCCAUUGUCGCUCAGCAAAGACCUUAUGAACUGAACUAUAGAGCUCAAGGUGCAGAUCAAUGCCACAUUCGGGAAUAAGAACUUUGUGUACGAGUGAGUGCAUGUGUCUUUCAACAGCCUCUACAAACAUCAAUUUACUAUGAUUGAAAAGAAUCCUGCUAGCACUCCCGUGAGUUCUUUUCUUGGGCGCCAUUCCUCUUAACUAAUAGAGAAUAUGCUCUCCUAAAUAAUUGACACCAAUCCAAGUAAUUUACCCCAUUAAUGAAACAGUAGUAAUUGAAAAUGCCAACUACCUCACCCACAAAUUCUGCACUAAUGCAAUAAAUAAAGCUCUACAAUCAUUCUCAUCAAAGAGCAAAAUUCAGCACAGACCCAUGUAAAAACAAGAAAAUUCAGCACAUAUAAAUCAAUCUAACAUAAAACCCAUCAACCCAUCCACGAAGUACAUGAAUCGUUCCACAAAAUUGCUAGUUAAUCAAAACUAAACAAAAGAUGGAGAGUUUAACUACUUAAGUACCAAGUGCAGAAAAUUGGAAAAAGAAUGGAAGAAAAACAACUUACGUGGCACGAAGAAGUGAUGAACGGUAGAAAUUUAAAAAGGGUGAGAAGUGGUUGUAGGAGGUGUAAGAGAUUGCAAGUGAAAAAGAGAGAAAAGCCCUAAAAAGUGAAGAAGAGGUGAGAAAAACAAGAGAAAGUAAGGCUUUUAAAGAAAACCCUGUGACACAGCAUCACGGUGCUACUUUUGUGACGCCACGGUGCUCUAGGCUCGACCUAAUGUAUAAAUCAAGCUAAGCAACUAACAUCACGGCUCUCUCCAAUUGAUGCCGCAAUGGCCACUUCUAAAGAAUUAGUAUGAGAGGAAGCUGAUAUGCCAAUGCCACAGUGCUACUUCCUUGGAGUCGUAGUGACUUUUUUUUUUUUGGUAAAUAGAAAACACAUACCCACUAACCUGCUCCUCUCAAGAUAGCUCUAGACCUAUGAUAAACAAUGAAAAAUUAAUCAUAACAAACUUGACAAGGUAAAAUUAUAAGUACCUAAAGUUUAAAAGAUGACCAAAAUAAAUAAAUUUGAAAAGCUUAGGUUGCCUCCCAAGAAGCAUUUCUUUUAAGGUCAUUAGCUAGACCAUUGUGGACUUCAUUUAGGGUCAAAGAGAGACAUGGAAAACCAUUGCCUAUUGAUAGGUCCUCCAUAGUAAUGCUUCAAUCUUUGUCCAUUCACCUUGAAUGUCUAGUUGGUCGACCCACCGACUAUUUCUAUUAUACCAUGUGGAAAUACUUUUGACACAAUAAAGGGUCUUAACCAUCUGGAUUUCAAUUUGCCCGAAAAUAACUUCAAUCAUGAAUUGAACAACAAAACUUGUUGACCAAGCUCAAAACCACGCUCGAUAAUCUUUUGAUCAUGCCAUCAUUUUGUCUUUUCUUUAUACAAUUUGGCAUUCUCAUAAGCAUCCAAGCGAAUUUCAUCCAUCCAAUUCAAUUGAAGUAAUAUAUUCUCCCUCACAGCUCUUACGUCAAAAUUCAAUUUCUUGAUUGCCCAUAAUGCACUAUGCUCCAAUUCAACUGGGUGACGACAUGUUUUUUCAAAAACCAAACGAUAUGGAGACAUACUUAUUAGAGUUUUAUAAGUUGUCCUAUAUGCCCAAAAUGCAUCAUUUAAUCGACUAGCUCAAUCCUUUCAUGAUGGUGAUACCACCUUUUCAAGAAUUCGUUUGAUUUCUUAGUUGGAUACUUCCACUUGUCCGCUUGUCUUAGGGUGAUAGGUUAUGGCUAUCUUCUGUGACACCUCAUAUUUUGUGAGAAAGGCUGUAAAAUUCUUAUUGCAAAAAUGACUACCUUCAUCACGAACUAUGGCUCUUGGUGUACCAAAUCUGAUGAAAAUGUUUUUCUUUAGGAAUUUCAACACCACUUUAGCAUUAUUUGUAGGCGGGGCCAAGGGUUUCUACCCACUUUGACACAUAAUCAACAGCUACCAAAAUGUAUCGAUUAUUGAAAGAUGAUAUGAAUGGUCCCAUGAAAUCAAUUCCCCAAAAAUCGAAAAUUUUCACUUCUAAAAUGUUGUUAAGCAGCAUCUCAUGUCUUUUGGAAAUGUUUCCCACCUUUUGACACUUGUCACAGUGCAACACAAAUUAUGAACAUCUUUGAACAAUGAUGGCCAAUAAAAACCUGAUUGAAGCACUUUGGCUGUUGUUUGGUCCCCUCUAAAAUGACCCCCAUAUUCUGAAGAAAGGCAUUGUCUUCACACGUUUUCAACUUCUUCCUCUAGAAUGCACCUUCUUACAAUUCUGUUAACACAUUGCUUAAACAAAAAUGGUUCAUCCCACAAAUAAUAUUUAAAAUUAUAGGAAAAUUUAUUCCUUUGUUGAAAAGUUAAAUUUGGAGGUAUAAGGUUAUUCAUAUUGAAGUUGACAUAAUCAACAUACCAUGGUAGUUUCUUUUGACCAUACAACAAUUAUUCAUCAGGGAAAGCUUUGUUGAUCAAAGCCACAUCCUUACCUUAGCUGUCAUGCUUAAGCCUUGACAAGUGGUCAACUACUUGGUUUUCUAAAACCUUCUUAUCUAUGAUUUCUAGAUCAAAUUCUUGUAACAACAACACCCAUCACAUUAACCUUGGCUUGGCAUCAUUUUUUUCAAUUAAAUACUUGAUUACAGAAUGGUCAGUAUAAGCAACAACUUUAGUCCCAAUCAAGUAUGAAUGAAAUUUGUCAAAUGCAUACACAACAGCUAAUAAUUCUUUCUCAGUGGUGGUGCAGUGCAUUUGGGCUUCAAUCAAAGUUUUGAUUGCAUAAUAUAUAGAAUAAAAAAUUUUAUUCUUUCUCUAGCCUUCAAUUGCUCCUACUGCAUGAUCACUAACAUCACACAUAAGUUCAAAUGGAAGUGACCAAUUAAGAACUACAAUAAUGGGUGUAGUUGUAAAUCUCUUUUUCAAUUUUGUAAAUGCAUCAUGAAAUGCAUCAUCAAAUUUAAAUGGAAUCUUUUUCUAAAGAUUGCAUAAGGGUUUAGAAAUUUUUGAGAAAUCCUUGCUAAACCCUUAUGAAUCGUUGAUCAAGACUGGCAUGGCCAAGGAAACUCCUGAUAACUUUUAUUGAAGUUAAUGGUAGAAGCUUUUCAAUGGUUUCAAUCUUGGCUUUGUCCACCUUCAAUUAUUUACUCGACACCUCUAACCCAAAACAAUACCUUAUUGUACCACAAAAUGGCAUUUCUCCCAAUUCAACACCAGGUUGGUCUCCUUACAUCUUUACAAUACUCUAUCAAGAUUGAGCAAAGCAUUCAUCAAAAUUAUUACCAAAUACUGAGAAAUCAUCCAUAAAUACCUCUAUGGUUUUCUCCACCACAUCUAAAAAAAUAGGCAUCAUGCAUCGUUGAAAUUUGGCUGGAGCAUUACAUAAUCCAAAUGGCAUUCAUCUAAAUGUGAAAGUACCAUAGGGGCAUGUGAAGGUCAUUUUCUCUUGAUCUUUAGCUACUAUAGUAAUCUGAUUGUAGCCUAAGUAUCCAUCCAAUAAACAAUAAUAUUCUUUUCCAGUUAAUCUGUCUAACAUCUGGUCAAUAACAGGUAAAGGAAAAUUAUCUUUCCUUGUGGCCUUAUUUAACUUUCUAUAAUCCAUGCAUACUCUCCAUCCAGUGAUUGGCUAUGCGAGAAUGAGCUCAUUAUUUUCAUUUGCCACCACUAUCAUCCCUCUUUUCUUGGUUAUGCAUUACACCAGACUUACCCACUCACUAUCUAAAAUAGGAUAAAUGAUACCUGUAUCUAGCCACUUGAUUAUUUCCUUAUUGACAACUUCCUUCAGAAUUGGAUUUAAUCGCCGCUAAUGCUCGAUAGUGGCUCUAUGAUUAUCCUCCAAUAAUAUUUUAUGCAUGCAUAUGGAAGGGCUUAUCCUUUUGAUAUCUACCAUGGACCACCCCAAUGCCUUUUUAUGCUCUCUCAAAAAUCUUAGCAACUUUUCUUUCUAUUGGUUGUUAAGAUCAGAUGCACCUAUAACUAGAAUAGUGGAUGAGUUUCCAAGAUAUGCAUACCUCAAGUGUUUUGGUAAUGGUUUGAGUUCUAACUUCGGGGGGACCGUAAUUGAAAGUUUCACUAGGAAGGAUGAAGGGGAAGUCAAAUCUAACAAUUCAAACCUAGCUCCCAAUACCCGAAAAGGAGCAUUCAGCACAUUGACACAUUCUACAACUUCAUCAUUAAUGGGCUUAGCUUCAGAAAUCAAUGUUAUUUCAAGUGGAUCAUUAGAAUGAUCUUUUAUGAAAACUUCACUCGUGACUCUAUCUACCACACUAAUUGCAAAACACUUAUAAUGAUCAUUAGUGAAUUUUAAAGCACGAAAGAUAUUAAAUGUUACCUUUUGAUCUUGUACUCGCAAGGUAAGCUUUUCUUUUUCAACAUUAAUGAGUGCUCCGGCUGUGUGUAAGAAAGGUCUCCCAAGGAUAAUAGAAACCUCUCUAUUUUCCUCCAUGUCAAAAACUAUGAAGUCAGCUGAAAAUAUGAAUUAGUCCACUUUCACAGGCACAUUUUCCACUAUGCCUCUAGGAUAUGUAAGAGUUUUAUUUGCCAAUUGAAGAGUUACAGUGGUGGGCUUGAUCUUUCCUAAAACUAACUUGUUGUAGAUGGACAAUGGCAUCAAAUUAAUGAUCACCUCUAAAUCACUCAAAGCUUUAGCAAAGAAUAAGCACCAAUUGUGUAAGGACUAGUAAAACUACCUCAGUCUUUAAGUUUAAAAGGGAGCUUAUUCUGAAUGAGCACACUACAUUCCUUAGUGAGUGCCACUAUCUCAAACUCACCAAAUCUCCUUUUCUUGGAUAGAAUGUCUUUCAAAUUUUACAUAUGAUGGCAUUUGCUCUAGUGCCUCUUCAAAUGGAAUGUUGAUGUGAAGCUUUUUAAAUACUUGCAUAAAUUUUUGAAAUUGACUCUCUUCUUGCUGCUUCUUGAAACGUUAAGGGACAAAUGGUGGCGAUGCAGUUGCCUUAGUCACUUUUGCCUAACAUUGAUCAUUGGACUUUGAACUCUAAAUCUCACUCUCCACAUAUUUGUCUUGUUAUGCAACUUAUUGUGGGUUGUUGUUAACUUCCCUACCACUUCUCAAUGUGAUGGCCUUGACAUUCUCAUUACUUCUCUCCUCGGAUUUGCCUUUGUAUCACUGAGUAAUGUUCCUUGAGUUCAGUUGUUUAACAAAUUUGUCAGUUGCCCAACCUAAGUCUCAAAGUUUCGAAGAGAAGCUGCUUGACUCUGAAUGGAAGCUAUUUGACUUUGUAUGAUGAUAUCAUUCUGGGUCAUAUAUUGCCUUGGUAAGUUUUCUACAACUGGCUUUUUCUCAAACAGAAGUCCCCGAUUUUGCUAUUGGAAUCCUGCAGGUGCAUUUGGCUUUGAAGUGGAUGAUGCCUUUUGAUUAUUAGCCUAACAAAAAUUUGGAUGAUGUCACCACUCUAGGUUAUAAGUGUUAAAAUAUGGGUUGUUUUGUUGCCUAUUACUCACAAAUUGCAUUGUCUCUGUUAAACUUGGACACUGAUGACUUGGAUGAUUAUCUCCAUAUAAUUCAUAAGCUAUAAAAGGACUUUGCAAACUAUUAGUACCAAAAGAUUCAAGAGUUUCAGUUAAAGCUACUAUCUGAGCGAAUAAUGUUGUCAUAGCAUCAACGUCGUGAAUUCCAGCUACUCUCCUUUGCAGUGAUCACUCAACUAGCCACUAGUAUUUGUUUGCAGACAUUUCUUCUAAUAAAUCAUAUGCCUCAUCUAUCGAUUUGGCCAUUAAAGCUCCUCCUGCAGUAGUGUCAAUGGUAGUCUAAACAUGCCCACUCGAGCCAUUAUAAAAAGUUUGCACUUGAAGCCACUUUGGGAGACCAUGAUGAGGACAAUGCCUAAGCAAUUCUUUAUAUCUGUCCCAAGCUUCAUACAAUGAUCUCGAAUCUUUUUGCAUGAAUAAUGUGACGUCAUUCUACAUUUUUGGUAUCUUAGUUACAAGGAAGAAUUUGGAAGAAAUUUCUUAGCAAGAUCAUCCCAUAUUGUUAUGGAGCCAGUAAGGAAUGCAUUUAGCCAAGCCUUAGCUUUAUCCCUCAAGGGUAAGGGAAAAAACCUCAAACGAAUUGCAUCAUCUGGGACACCAUUAUGCUUGAACAUGUUGCAAAUCUCCAAGAAAUUUGAUAUAUGGCCAUUUAGAUCAUCACUUGUAGACCCCUAAACUAAAUCGAUGUUUGAAUCAUGAUGAUGAUAGUUGGUUUGAUUUCAAAAUUGUUUGCUUAAUAACUAGCCUUUGAACGCUCGAUGGAAUUCCUUGUACAAAAGGAACAGCAUAAUCCCUUAAGCAAUAAUUGUCAGCUACUACACGCUCUUGGAUUUGCAAUUCACCUUGUUGAUCUGCUAUUGUAUUUACUAGAGCAAACCUUGUUGAUUCUUUCGUUGAAGUCUAUGAAAUAUUCUCUCAAUUUUUGGAUCACACAUGAUAGUCACCAAGUCGUUUGCUAUUUUCAUACAACUAUUGAACUUAACAGCAAAGCAAAAAUAUAACUUAAAUUAAGACUAAUCAAUAAAAUUUUAAUAUUAGCAGAUAACAAAGAAAACAAAAUCCCCAACAACAACUCUAAAAACUUGUUAAAUUUACACAUGCAAGUAUACGUAUGGAACAAGUAAUAUAGACAAUAAGUCCAAAUUAUCGUUCCCACAAGGAUUUGUUUCUAAAGUUGCACUAAGUACUAAAAUUAUAAAUCAAAUUAAUCUUAUUUAAGUAAUCCAAAAAUUGAAGAAAAACUAAUUAAAAACAAUUAAAAAUCAACACUUAAAGACCUAGGAUUAUGGGUUUGUUCAACAUUUCAUCGGCAACUUUUCUUGUUAUUUAUCUUUCUUGAGUAGUUUUACUAACCUAGAAUCCAAAGCUAAUGACAAGUCUCCAUUGAGAUGCUUGCAUAAAUACUGAACUUAAUUAGUUCACUAUAUGUCUAUAGGAAUCAACUAAAUUAAGUUCACUAUGCAAGUGCCCUAAUAUAGCUAUGUAUGGUAAUUGGUGUAUGUCUACCCAAAUUGUGAAUCAGAUUACCUAAGUAAAGUGAACAUACACUAAUCAAAUCUUAAUCCAACCUAAAAUCUCUCUGUUAAGUUUCAAUUAGAUUCACAAAUCAUUUAAUUGUUGAUCAGGUAAUUAAAAGCAUUAAGGACAGAUUUAAUUAAGUAAAACAAUACCCAUUCAUGAUAAAUAACAGAAAAUAAGUAUUCAUAUUAGAUGUAGAAAUCCACCACAAUCCUAGAUAAACAAAUUAGUUCAUGAUAAUAAAAUAAAACACUAUCCGAAGAAUUAUAACCAUGAGUUCAAAACAAGAAGUAAGAAUAACACAAAAUGAGAGAAUUAAACUAAUGUUGAAGCUUGAUUGAUUGCAAAUCUUUCUCAAUUAUUCCAAAAUUCUUGACUGAUUCGAAGCUCUAAUUCUCUAAAAAGUUGUUGUUGUCCCCUAUGUUGAAUACUCUCCAAAUAAGCUUUCAAAUAUGUGCAAGAUGCCCUACUUUCCAAUUUUUCGUCGAAAGUUCAAUUUUGGAAAUUAAGGUGGCGCCGUAGCCAUGCUUUUCUGGUGCCACAGUGCCGUCAUUUGCCUUGGGAGUACCACGGCUCAUUAUUCACCAACGCUGUGGUGGUAUGACUUGCAACCCCGCAGCCAUGAGUCUUUGGCACUAUGACGCUCUAACCAUGUUGCUUCAGUGCAAAGUUGUAUCUAUCCACCAACUUCGAACAUGAUUUUCACCUCAAUCGAGUCCAAAUUGGGCCAAGUUGUACACGCAAAAGAGUUAAGCCAUUCUCAUAUAUUUCUAAUGAAUCAAAAAUCUCCUCAAUUCGAGUUCUACAGCUCAAGUUAUCUUCAAAUUAUUGCAACAUGUACGAGUGACAAUUUCUCACUUGUGCUAUCAUCUCUUUCUUUCACCUUACUCAUCAUAUUCUGCACAAAACCAUGAGAAAAAUUGACGAUAACUUUUCCUAAAAUAAAUUGAGAUAAAUUAAAAUGAAAUUAAACUAACAACAACUAAAUUAACUAAUCAAUAAAAAAUCUAACUUACACUAAAAAAAUAGCUUAAAAGGUUUAAAAUCCAAUUCUAAACUCAGAGAUCUAGCCACUAAAGUCUCCAAAAUGUGCUCAAAAUAACUUUAUGUAGCAGAGUUAUCACCCUUCACUUCUUACCAUUUAUCUUGUCUCUAUCUGCAUAAUGCUCCCAAUUUUUAUAGGAAUUGGCUAAAGGAAUUCUUUAUCCGUAUGUUUCCCUUGCUCUUAGAUAAUCCGCUUUAUGAAGCCAAGAUGCAGAGCCGCCCUCAUUGUUGCUCCAAUUAUGCAUUUGCCCCUUCAUUCAAAUGACCUAUUCACCCAAUGUUGGUUCUCCUCAAAGCCACUUGGGCUAAAGCUUGAAGGACCCGAAAGUCUCCUAUUCAACCCCUGAUCCAAUUCUUGCUUUUCCAAUAGCCCACCUUAAGGCAAACUAGUUGGGCUCUAUCGGGCUUGACUAUGUUUUUUGUCCUUUUAUAACACACUAUUUGAAGCCCACCAUCAUAGCAGUUCAGUUCUAAGUCUUCAAGGCCUAUGAGCUCCACUACAGUUCCUGAGCUUGACACUCUAGUUUCCAUAUGGGCUUUGCACCUACCAAGCUUCCAAAUUGUCCCCAGUCCACAUCUUUUUGCUUUUCACUUCGUAAUGGGUCCACUAUGGCAUUAUUUGAUCUGCUUUGACUCGUUUGAUCCGGUUUUGCCAUCUCCUCUGGUGCUCCUGGUCUUUUCUCUAACCUGUUGAAUUGCCAAUGACACCAUUAAGCUCUUCAUCAUAUGGUACCCAUUGGUUGUGUGCCUGUUCAUCACCUCCUCAAUUCCAAAUGGAGCUCAAUGAGUUUGCAUCCCACUCUUGGGAUUAUGACACUGCUGGGUAUUUAAAUCCUAUUUCUACAUAAAUUUCAUAUACUUGAACCUUAAAGCUCUUACCCAACUUCCAGCUGAAUCAUACUAUCAAUCUUUUCCGAACUGCUCGUGAGAAUAAUCAUAUAGACUUUUUCGAAGGAGAUGAAUUUUCUUAUUUCCUGCCCAAGGUUGACAAAAUCCCCAAAAACUUCUGCAAUAUUUUAGAAUGUUCUAGCAUUCCAAGCAUGGACGGGGACUCCCAUCACUACCACCCAGCACCUCUUUUUGCCCGUUGGCAAGUUAGCCAACCACUCCACAAUAUUUUCAAACCAGAGAUUGAGUUUUUCCAAUUCUUAACCUAGAGGCCUUCUCUAGUUGUAUGCUUCUAAAAGAAAGCAACGCCAUACUCUAUAAUUCUUCUGACUUCCAAACCUUCAAUCCUGUUUUCUUUCAAGCUUUCCAUUAUAGAAUCCGAGUCCUUAUCAUUCCUAUAAUCAGUUGCCAGUGAUGAUUUAUACCACAUAUAAGAUUUCAUCAUCAAUAAACCCAUUCACACAUUACCUUCUUUCAAGUUUGGGCUUUUUUGGCUCCACAUGUGCUACAUUUUCCUUUGCAUCAAAGCCUGCAACAAGAGUAUCCUGUAUAUUUGGAGGGGUCUAAAUCCUAAAUUCUCUAGGCUCUAUUCACGUUCAUUUCACCUACCCUGAAAUUAUUUGCAAAGAUUCAAAUUUUUCCCCUUUUUGUGCCAAAAAUUUUCCUUUGGAUUGAAUUGGGCUAUUAGCGACUCUCCUCACUACAUUGGCGUCGCCAUACAGGAGGAAAAUGAAGCAUCUACCCCAUGCUACAUGCUUUUGCAGUAUAAAAUGAUCCCUAUUGCUUUAAUGGUUGUUGAUUUUUCAUUCAUAGACCAAUUUUCUAUUUGAUUUUCUAAACUUAGUAGAAUAUUUUCAUCUAGGAAAUCAAUUAGAAAAUGUAUACUUUUUGAGAAUCAUCCAGGAUGGUCAGCUUGAUUGAAUAAAACUACUAAAGAUAAUGCUUUACCCUUUUAUGUUGAUGAAAGUGAAUUAACAAGAUUACUAGAUAUUAAUAUCAUUUACUAAAAUGUUGUCCAAAUUAUCUUAUAAUAAGAGUUACUAUGUGAUCUUAAAAGGGUUAUAAAUAGGAUUAGGUGUUCUACCAAACAACACAUCAACAAUUCAGCCAAAGUGUUCUGCUACACCAAGAGUGUUCUAAAAAACAUAAAGGGAGAAAACUCUCAUCCCUAAAAAAAACUACCCUUUCUCCAUUGUUAGACUAAGAUUCUUGUACUGUGAAAAGUGUGAUUACUACUCAAUUUUGCAAUAGUUUCCUAUGAUUGGUUUUGAGAGAUCAAUAAGAUAGUCAGACAUUCAAAAUCAAUAUCCUAAAGUCUGUCUGCAUUAGUCUUGAAAAGGUAAAAGACUGGUAAAGAUAUAACUAGAGUAAAAUUAUUCUAUAAUACUUUCUCUAAUUCAUAUGUUUUCUUGUAAAACAUGAUAAACAUGUUAAGAUUCAUUAAUUUUGCUUUUGCUUUAUGAUAAUUAUUAUUUUUGAAACUUAUAUGGCAUGUCAAUGGUAAGUAUAUAGAAUAGCAUGUUUUAGGGUCUGAUUUUUUGUUACAUGACGCUUAUAUAUGUCUAAUAAAAUCUUGAAAAUUAAAGCAUCAUCUCAUGCAUAAAUAUGAAGAAAAAAAAAGUCUUUGUUUGUUUGAUCUAAAAUUUUGACUGAAUUUUCUCUAUCUUAGAUUUUUUUUGAUCCAUUAUUUUUAUAUGAAUAAAAUCCUUCUAUAGUAAGCUUUCCACCUGUACAUUAUUCGCGUCAUUUGAAUUUCUAUAUUGAGAGAAUUUAGUAAAAGAAAUGAACCUUUAAAUUGAAAAAACAAAUAAAAGUUCAACAUGAAGCCCUUAUUAAAAACCCACCCCACUCGCGGUUUGAUGCGUGCAGUCCACCCCAUACAACGUUUGGCACAUCAGCCACCGCAAUGGUCUGUUCUUGCCGAGGCCAAUCAACUACCAGUGAGAAUACGACAAUAGGCCAUCAAGAAGGCAACGUGUGGAUUACACACGCCAUCUUGAGAAAGUGAUUUUCAUUAAAAAAGAAUAAUUAUUGGCUAGAAACAAAGGCUUACUUGUGGCUAAGCGGCAUGUGAUGCCGCUCUAGAAGCGCGUUAGACAUCGGCACCACUAGAAUUUCGAGAAUAAUGCCCUUUAUUUUAUUUUUUUUUUCUAAUUUUAACAUUUCUCGACCACGUUCUUGAAAAUUAAAAAUGUCUUAAAAAUAAAAAUUAAAUUGUAAGACUCACCAUGCACGUCGGGACACUUGCAUUGGUUUCGGGCCAAUUGGGUGUGUACGCUACAACAUAGCAGAGUAGGGCAUGCAUUUUAUAAAUAUUCAAAACCUAUAAUUAGAGUUUUCUCCCUAAUUUAUAUCUUUUCGAAAUUCCAAUAAUUAAGAAAAUGUUGAAUUUAUUUCUUUAACAUUUUGAGCAUUUUGAAAUUUUUUUAUUGAUAGUAUAUAUGACAUUUGAAUAGCACUCAUAUAAUAUAUGAUUUAUAUCAUGACAUAUUUUAAUUAUUCAAAAGAUUAAAUUCCUAUUAAUUCCUUAUGUUUAGCAUGAUAAUUUUAUGAGUUAUUAAAUAUCCUAAGCUUUCCAGUAAUAUUUAAUUUCGUAACAGGUCUAGGAAUGCCAUCCCAAGUAGAGGAUUUUGGUUGAGUGAAAUUUUUCAAAUUUUACUCCUAAAAUUAAAAUUUUACACAUGAAUUAUAUUGAAUAAUGUUAAUAAUUACUUCUAUGCAGGAGAUGAUUAGGAGCAUAGCAAAUUUUCAAUCUUGCAACUUGCAUAUUAUUUUUGUUAUUUGGUUCGAAUUUAUCCGAAAAAAUAUUAUCUUCUAGUGCUAAUUAUUAAUAUCUAUUACACAUAUUGUCCCUAAUAAUUAAGAAAACCUAUAAAUAUUGCACAUGUGUACAAAAUUCCAAUAAUUAAGAAAAUGUUGAAUUUAUUUCUAUAAUAUUUUGAGCAUUCUGAAAUUUUUUAUUGACAGUAUAUAUGAUAUUUGCAUAACAUUGAUAUGAUAUAUGAUUUAUAUCAUGACAUGUUUAAAUAAUUCAAAUAAUUAAAUUCCUAUUAAUUGCAUAUGUUUAGUAUGACAAUUUUAUGAGAUAUUAGACAAGUUAAGUUUUCUAGUAAUAUGUAAUUUAGUAAAAUGUCUAGGAAUGCCAUGCUAAGUGGGAGGUUUUAAUUGAGUGAAAAUUUUCGGAUUUACUUCUAAAACUAAAAUUUUACGCAUGAAUUAUAUUGAAUAAUGUUAAUAAUUAUUUCUAUAAAGGAGAUGUUUAGGAGCAUAGCAAAUUUUCAAUCUUGUAACAUGUGUAUUAUUUUCUUUAUUUGAUUCAAAUUUAUCCAGCAAAAUAUUAUCUUGUAGUGCUAAUUAUUAAUAGCUAUUGCACUUUUUUUUUUUCUAGUGAAGUUGAAUAUGGUUACUAAAAACAUUGUUGUUGAUCUAAAUAAAGAUGAGAAAUUAGAUGGCCAAAAUUAUAACAUUUGACAUUGUAAAGUCCAUUAUCUCAUAGAUGAGCAAGGGGUUCUGGAAAAUCUCGACCAAAUUAUGCAAGGGCCAUAAGCUAGAAGUAGAACUUAGCAUUGUAGUGACAUUGAAACCUACAAAAAUUGGUGCAAAACGAUCAUUGUGCAUGCUUUACGUUGAGCAACAAUGAUUAGAUAGGCAAAUAUAAGCAAUAUGAAAAAGCUCAUGAGAUAUGGCAAGGCCUCAACAUGCACAAGGAUGAGAAAUGAGGCCUUAGAGGAAAAAAGUGUAUCUUUAUAAGAUACUCUAAACACAUUAAGGGAUAUGCGUUCAUUGGAGAACUUGAAGAUGGAAGUGCGACUAAAAUUAAGUCAAGAGAUAUGGUUUUCUUAAAAGAAGAUUUCCCAAGUAUAGGGGAAACUAAAAAAAAGAUAGAACUUACUGAAAUGGAGGAUUAAGAUAUUGGCAUACCAAACAACGUGAUUGAGAACAUGGAAAAAAUUCUUCAAACUCUCAAAGAUAGUAAGAGCUACUUACCAUUAAGUUCAUCUAUUCCCAUAAAUAUAAAUCCUCAAGUUGAGCUAUGUAGAAGCAAACGUACAAGCAUAUUACAUCGUCAUCCAUUUAAGAUUAAGUGAAAAGCUUUCAUAAUUGCUCCGUAAGAAUAAAGUACAUUAAGAACUAUACAGAAGCCUUUUAUCCUCUCUUGAUGCAAAAGAAUGAAAAAAAGGCAACGAAUGAUGGAAUGGAAUCUAUAAAAAUCAACCAUGUUUAGAACUUGGUUGACCUUCCACCAAAACAUAAGACUAUUGGGAACAAAUGGGUCUUAAAAGUGAAAUCUAAGGUAUAUGGAUCCAUUGAAAGAUUUAAGGCUUUCUUACUAGCAAAAAGGUACACACACUAAAAAUGUAUGAACUAUGAAAAAGUCUUCUUAGCAGUAGUAUUCGCUUAAUACUAACCAUAGUUGCAAAUUUUGAUUUAAAACUUUUCCAAUUAGGUGCUAAAAUAACAUUUCUUAAUGGAGAACUAGAUGAAGAGAUCUAUAUGGAUCCACCCAACUGCUUUGUGGAAAAAGGUCAAAAGUACAAAGUUUGCAAGCUUAAAUAAUCUAUCUAUGUAUGGCCUAAAGCAAUCAUACAGACAAUGAUAUUUCAAAUUUCAUCACGUUACUAUUCAUAUACGGUUCGUGAUUAUUGAAAAGAAUCACUGUGUGUAUUUUAAAUGAUACCAAAGAAAUUAUAUCAUAUUAUCAUUAUACUUAAAUGACAUACUGUUGGUGGGAUAUGAUAAAGAGAUGAUUGUCACUACUGAAAAGUGGUUGUCCUCAAUCUUCGUGAUGAAGGACCUGAGUGAAGCAAAUUAUGUGCUCAAAGUUAAGAUCCUAAGGGAUUGUUCAAAGAGACUUCUUGGUUUGGUUCAAGAGAAAUAUAUCAAGAAGGUUCUUGGACGAUUCUAGAUACAAAAUUGCAAACCCAUUAAUACUCUUUCACGAAAGGUGAAAUCUUGAUUCUUGAUAUGGCUCCUAAGACGCCAAAAGAAUAAAAGCAAAUAAUUUGUGUUCCUUUUUCUAGUCUUGUUAAGAGCCUCACGUAUACCAUGAUAUGCACAAGACCUGAUAUUAGCUUUUUAGCUGGUUUGCAAAAUAGAUUCCAAUCAAAUCUUAGACAUGACUUAUCUUAAGAGAACUGUUAAUUACUUUUAUAUGUUAUUGCGGAUCAAACUUGAACGUAAUUGGCUAUAAUGAUGUUGAUUAGGUAGCUAAUAGAUUAUGCAAAUCAACAUUGGCUAUGUAUUUUUGCUUAAUGGUGGUGUUAUCUCCUAGAGCGAUAAGAAAUAAUCUUACUUUGCCUUAUCCACUAUAAAAGCAGAAUUUAUAGUUAAUUUGUUUGGCAAUUGUAUAAGAAGUUGUUUGGUUGAGGUGAUUCCUUCAAAAUUUCGAUGUAACUAGUUUUUCCUCAAAUCCAAUGACCAUUCAUUGUGAUAGUAUGGUUGCAACUGCUUUUACUAAAGAUCUUAAAUAUCAUGGUAGAACAAAACACAUUAAUAUGCGGAAUAGCUAUAUUAGAGAUUUAAUUGUGCAAAAGAAAGUGAUCUUAAAACAUAUUUCCACUUGUCAUAUGGUUGCAGAUCUUUAGAUUAAACUUAUUCCAAAGGAUACUUGUGUGACAAAUGUUAGGUCUCUACGACUUCAUUUAUGGUGAUUUUUGUAUUUGAUCAUUCGUAUUAAACCUUUAGGAUAAUAGUAACACUUAUGUAAUUUUUAUUUUAUUAUAAAUGCAUUUAUGUUUAUAUAAUUAAUUAGCAAACAAGAUAUGAAAAGUAUGUCAAUAGGCUGGAGAUUAGCUCACUCAAGUAUCCCUUUCUUUUGCACCAACUAUUUGCGCAUUUAGAUAGCAAAUAGAGUUUAAAUUGUUUCCUUGGUUGGAGCCAAAGAUAACGUCCAUAUAAUAAAUAACAAGUAAGGGCCUAAUGGUCUACCCCACAAUCCAUGUAGCAUGUAGAGAAAACCAAAUGUGAGGCCUUAUUGGCGUUAACAAUGGAGGGCAAAUGAAGAACUCAAGUUAGGCAUUUUUGAAAAGCGACUAAACUAAUAUUUGUAUGGAGUUUUGGAGUUUGACAUACACUCUUAGAACGAGAUGCUCCAUCAUAACAUGUACUUCAUACUAAAUAAGCUUUACAAUUGAUAUAGAAGGUGAAAGAAUGAAUCCCUGUUUCUUCACCAAGUGAGUCCUAAGUAGGUUAAUGAAACUUGAACUAUGUUGUUUGUGACUUUUGAUUGUGUCAUAAGGUGAGGAAUGGAUGCUCGCUAUUUUGGUAUGUUAACUAAGACCAUGGAUAAUUUUGUUGUAUGGGACAUUACUGAAAAAACAUACUUUUCUAAAGUAAGUGGCAUGAGAGUUGAUAAUUUUAUUUUAUAGAAUUAUUUUUAUCUUAAAUUGUUUUUAAAAGUUAGCUAAGUUCUUGAGUUUAGGUUUAAAUUUAGUUUUUUUUAAUUAGUUUGUUUUUAUUAAAUUAUUUUAACUAUAUGUUUAUUUAUCUUAUUUUAGUUACUAUUUAUUAGUUUUUAUGUUUUUAUAGGAUUAUGGAAGAAUAAGGCUUAAUUGGAUGAAGAAAGGUGUUUAAGGAGUUCAGACCUUAUUCGUACAUCUUGUGGUCUUUUGAGUAUAACUCCCACUCCAAAUGUCCAAAUGAUGCAAUUCUUAGACCAUUGAAAAGUUAAGAGGCAGAGCUAUGCUUUUAAGGACACCACGUUACCUAGUUCUGCCUUGAAGAUGGAGAAAAUGAAAUUGAAAUUUGACCGAGUGCACUAGUCAAGAAGAAAAAGACAAGAAUCCAUUGGAGCGUCGCGGCUUUGAUAGGGUGUGCCACAUCAUCAAAGAAGAAAUUUUGAAAAAAUGGUAGUGGGAAAGAGAGUUAUGGGGGCCAACUUAAGUCUAUUGGGCUUUACACUUAUUCUAAGCCCAAACUAAGAGUUUUUAGGCUAAAAUGUUUAAUUUAGGUAAAAUUAGGUUAAGUUUUACUUAUAAAGUUAGCUUAAGGAGAAGUUAGCCACACACAUUGAGGAUAAAUCCUAAGAGAGAUUCAAGAAGCUAGAAGUUAAGGUUGAAAAUUGAAGAUCAAGGUUGCAAAAUUUUAUUUAUUUUCUUCUUCUUUAGCUUGUAUUAUUCUUAUUACUCUUGAUGGCUAAACUUUAUAUGUUUUUAUUUACUUUUGCAAUUAUUAGUAGCUAAAUUUCUUUUUCUAGGAUUAUAAUUGAAAUCACAUGUAAUCUAAAUUUUUAAUCUCUUUCUCGUUUAUUUUUCAAUGAGAUAGAAUUGUUUAUUCCAAUUUGUUCUUAAUGCUUUUAAUUGACUGGUCACCAAUUAAAUUGAUUUAGAAACGUAAACAAACUUGGAAAAGGAAGUUUAGUGUAAACUAAGAUUGGAAUAGCAUAUGAACAUAUUUAUUUGCUUAGACGAAUAAAUUGAUUUGUGCAUAAGAUAAGAAUAUACCUAUAUACUAUAUGUAGUCAGUAUUAAAACGUGAACUUAAUGAGUCUAUUUUAAUUUCAAUUCACAUAGAAAUAUGGCGUUUUGGUUAAAGUAAAUAUUUUUAUAAAAGACUCGAGAUAGCAUUAUAAAUAAUUGAGAACUUUAUGUUAGCAAUUCAAUGCAUUGGAUUAAGUUAGGAGAGAGAGAGUUAAGAUUUAGAUGAAGUGUGAGGGAUAUUAUAAUUCUAAGCUUUUCCAAUUUGAUUUUUAUUCCAUUAUAUUUUUGCUUAGAUUUUUAAUUAGUGUUAAUUAGUUUAGUUUUAGUUUACUAGUUUUUAGUUUAAUUAGUUAUCUAAAUUUUGUAUUUUUGAAUAAAACUAAAUUAUUUUAAUUUUUGUACUUAGUAAAUUUUUAGAACAAUUCUUUAAGGGAUCGAUAAUCUACUUACAAAUAUAUUAUCUAUUCGAGACAUAUACUUCCGUAGGUAAAGUUUUAACUAACAAGUUUUUGGCGUCGUUGUAGAGGAAUUGUUUUCUAGAAUUUUUACUAAUACUAAUACCAAGAAAAUUUAUUCUUAAUUCAAACCUUAUUCUUUUGAUUUAUUUCAUUUUUUUUUCAUGUUUUUAGGCAUCUUUGGUCAUUGUAUGCAAAGGAGGAACUUGAAUCUUAUUCAUUUUGAUCCAAAGAUAGAAAGAACUUUUAGAAGACUUUAAAGGGAAAAUUUGCAAGUUUAAACUCUAAACCAAACAAUGGUUGAAGAUAAUAAUAAUCAUGUAACAAUGUUGUGAACCAGAUUAUUAAAGAGAACAAACCUCUAAUAGAUUAUGUUGUUCCCUUUUUACAAGGCUUGCACCAAAGCAUUAGAAUACCUUCUAUCAAUGCAAAGAAUUUUUAAAUCAUGCCUGCUUACAUUCAGAUGAUUUAGUUUUUUGUUCAGUUUGGUGGGUUACCCAAUGAUGAUCCUAAUUCCCAUUUGGUUCAUUUCCUGGAAAUCUGCGACACUUUCAAAUAUAAUGGGAUGAUUGAUGAUGCGAUCAGACUUAGACUCCUUCCUUUUUCAUUGAGGGAUAAGGCAAAGAAUUGGUCGAAUUCACUAUCCACUGGAUCUAUUACAUGAAAAGACUUCGCUAAAAAUUCUUGGAAAAAUUCUUUCCACUUACAAAGACUACAAAGUUGAGGAAUGAUAUAACUUCCUUCACACAAUUUGAUGUUGAAUCCUUAUAUGAGGCUUGGGAACUAUUUAAAGAUUUGCUCAAGAGAUGUCCACACCUUGGGCUUCCUCAAUGGCUUCAAGUUUAAACAUUUUAUAAUGGAUUGGGCAGUUCAAUCACAUAUACAAUUGAUGUCACUACUGGUGGGGCAUUGAUGAGUAAAAAUCGUAAUGAAGCUUGUAAUUUGUUGGAAGAGAAGGCAUUCAAUAAUUACCAAUGGCCUUCAAAAAGAUCUAGUUCUAGGAAAGUUGCCAAUGUUUAUGAGAUUGAUGCACUGAAUGCUUUAACUGCACAAGUAGCUGCAUUAACAAAAAGAUUUGACACAAUGGGAGUUAAUGUUGUCCAAAACUCUUUUAUAACUUGUGAUUUGUGUGGAAAUAGCCAUUCAAGUGAUCAAUGUCCAUCUAAUCCUAAAUCAGCUCAAUUUGUUAGGAACUUCAACAAGUAGUAAAAUAACCUAUAAUCCUAGUUGGAGGAACCAUCCAAACUUUUCAUGGAAUAAUAACCAAAGACCUUCAAAUCCAAGGCCAAACAAUUCUCUUGGCUUUCCUCAACAAGCAAGACCUCCUGUCUCUAAGAAAAAGUCUACUAUGGAGGAAUAAUGCUAAACAAUUACUUCGAGGAGUGGAAAAGAAGUUAAAGGGGUUACUAAAAAAUCAAUUGAAUCAAAAGAGCAUGGGGAUGAUGAAGAGGUAAUUGUUAAGAAAUAAGUUGAGAAGAAAGAUGAUGGGAAAACUAAAACUCAAGUGAAGGUUCAAGCAAAUUAUCCUCCACCACCCUUCCCACAAAGAUUGCAAAAGUAAAAGCUUGAUAAGCAAUUUCAGAAAUUUGUCAAUGUCUUCAAGAAGCUCCACAUAAAUAUUCCUUUUGUUGAAGCUUUGAAAAACAUGCCAAGCUAUGUCAAAUUUUUAAAAGACAUCCUAACCAAAAAAAAGAAACUGGUAGACUUUGAAAUAAGUGCACUUACUAAGGAGUGCAGCGCAAUAAUUCAAAACAAGCUUCCACCAAAGCUUAAAGAUCUAGGGAUUUUUUCUAUCCCUUGUACUAUUAGUAGAUUUAAAUUCUCUAAAGCCUUGUGUGAUUUGAGUGCUAGUGUUUCAAUUAUGCCUUUGUCAAUUAUUAAGAAAUUUAGACUUAAUGAGAUACAACCUACUACAGUUUCAUUGCAAUUAGCAAAUAGAACAAUCAGGUACUCUAUUGGGAUUAUUGAGGAUGCAUUGGUUAAAGUUUGGUACUCUACAUUCUAAUGGACUUUAUUGUGCUUGAAAUGGAAGAAGAUGUGAAAAGUCCUUUAAUCUUGAGACGACCAUUCUUGGCUACUACAAGCGCAAUCAUUGAUGUGAGGGAAGGCAAGAUAACUUUUAAAGUUGGAAAAGAGGUAGUCGAGUUUAAUAUUUUCAAUGCAAUUGAACAUCCUGGUUCUACAAAUAGUUACUCUAGAGUGAAUUUAGUUGAUGAAGGUAAAAGUGAUCUAUUUCUCCACCUACAAUUGAGCAAGCACCGAUCUUUGAGUUUGAGCCACCACCUUCGCAUAUUAGACCCAAGCAGACGCAGGAAAAGCAUCCUCCACUGUCAUCUAAUUGUCUUUUUGAGAUUGGACAACAAGUUAUGUUAUUGUCUGGAUCACACUUUAAGCUUUUUCCAUGGAAACACAAAGCAAAAUGGUUAGGUCCUUUUAAUGUGGUAAAGGUUUAUCCUUGUGGAAUAAUAGAGAUUGAUAGUGAGGAUAUGAGCACAUUCAUGGUUAAUGGACUAAGUCUCAAGCCGUAUUAUGAGGAUGAAGAACUACAAAAUAGGGUACUAUAGUCAAGCUAGUGACUAUAAAGAAGCAUUUCUUGAGAGGCAACUCAAGCUUUCUAACUUAAUUUACUUACUUUAAUUUAUUUUUUAUUCAUUUAUUAUUUAUUGUCAUUAAUUACUUAUUUUCUUUCUUUCUUUUUCCAAGUUUUUCCCUCAACAAAAAAAAAAAAACAAGGCAAGAGCGAUACAGUGCCACAAAGGGAGCAUCAUGGCAUCCCAACAUCAAGAGGACACCAAUUCAAUAGGGGCAAGAGCGCUACGGCACCACAUGGAGAGCACCAUGGCUCCUUGACAUCAACAGGAUGCCAAAUCAAGGGAGCCUUCUGUCACAGCCCAAAUUCCAGGGCCAUGACUAGCGCUUAGGCCCAAUGGGCAUAACCCACUAAGCCCAAGCAAGCCUCCUUAUGCAAUUCCGAUUAUCAUUCGCAUCCAUUAUCUUUAAAAUGAAGUGUUGUAACUCUCAAAAGUAAAUGUUCCAGUAAUAUUUUCUAACAAUUGAAUAUUCAUUUUUAUAUUAUAUCAAAGUACUGUCAUCAUCAAUCCAACAUAUAUAUACUUCAUUUAUAACAUGACUUUUAGUAGUUUACAUUACAUAUACAUGUUCACAAGUAAUAGACUCGAGACCAUCAACGGAGUGACUCUAGGUGAAGAUACAACUAUUGAGAUGCCAUAGUACCUACCAAGAAGAUGAGCAUAUGUGUGCGACUUAAUCUAGGUCUCAACUACCUCCAAAUUUGAAAACAUGAAUUUUAAAAACAUGAGUAUAAAACUCAAUGAGUGAACAUAAGAAGGGAACAAGCAAUCAAUAGGAAGAAUUUGAAAAUCAUGAUGCACUUGUUUCAACAAUAAUGCAAUUGAUUUAAUUUCUUACUAAAAACCCUUCAUUUCAAACUUUGAUUAAUAACCUCAGAGUGUUGCAACAACCCAUGAUCAAUCCAUGAAGUUAAAUGGGUGAAAAAUAUGUCAAAAAUCAAAAAGGGUAGCAUGCAGGAUAGAAUGUUUCUCGCUGCAGCAAAGUUCAUUCUCGCUGCCGCGAGAAACAGUAUCAGUUUGCAUGUAUUUCAGUUUUUCUAGCAUAUCUUCCACUACAGAAUUCUAAUUAACUUGAUUUUUAGACCAUUAGAAAGAUAAAAGACAGAGAUACAACUUUGAUGUUUACCACUUUUUCCAGUUCGAACGGGAAGGUGGUCAAAAUCUUCAUCAAAGUGAAGGCACUACAUUAGAACCUGAGAGUUUCUCGCUGCAGCGAGUUUUCUGCUGCCAAAAGAGAAUGUUUCUAGCUGCAGCGAGAAGUAGGGCACCUAAGUGAAAAAGGGGCCUCCUUUGCACAAAAAAUCCAUUUGGUGCUGCAAUAAAGAUCAAUUUGCAAGAAAAUGGGAAUUUCUCAAGAUUCAUCAUGCCAAAUUUUACAUGUAUUACAACCAUAUACCAUUACUCAUAAACUUCCUAUAACACACAUAUUUACAUAUGUGUAUAUAUAUAUACCCAUCAUCAUCAUGCACACCAUCCCAUCAUCAUCAGCUCAUGUACACUCCCUACUCGCACAUGGCUGGGUCAUCACCGAUUUAUGCACACUCCCUACUCGCACAUAAUCGGGUCAUCGUCAGCUUAUGCGCACUCCCUACUCACACAUAGCUGAGUCAAUAUCAUUACAUAAUAAUAUAUUCAUACGUAUGUAUAUAUCAACAUAAUGUAGCAGUAUAUGAAUCCAUAAUAGCCACAUAUCACAACACAAAGAUAAUUUAUCAAGGGCUUGUUCCCAAGGCACCCAUUCUUAAGAAAAGUUUGAUAAAAUCAUUUAUUGUCUUUUGCAAACACAUUCACAUUCCAAAAAAUACUUUGAAAUGCAAAUUCACUCACCGAUCUUGUUGUUUCUUUUGCUUGACUCUAACCUCAACUAACACUCCAAAGGGACAUGUGAGGCCUUGUUGGAACCUAUACACACACAACAUCACAACCAAUCCAAUUUACAUUAAUAUCACUCCAAAAGCUAGUUUCUAAUUCAAAUUCUACUAGUCAUUCCUAAUUGGCUUCCAACUAUAUCAAAUGGCUAUUCCUUGCACUACUCUAAUCACACUAAAAAUGAGUAAACAACUCAACAAUAAAACAGCUCAUAAUCCCAAUUACUAGCCAUUAUCAACAACUUAAAACCAAGCCUAGUUCAUCACUCACCUUAGGGUUUCUUUGUAGUUGAAUUCUCUUCAAAUAGCUUCCAAACAAAUAUGAAAAAUCUCUUUUUCUCUCUCUAAAACCUCCAACUAGUGAGAGAAAAUGUUGAAAAAGGACUUUUUGAGGGUUUUAAAGUGAGAGAGUGAAAGAACACAAGGGUUCUAGUCAAAAAGGCACAAAGGUAUGAAAAUUAGAGCUAGAGAGAGAAAGUUGUGAAAGUUUCAUAUCAAGCUUCCAUGGAGGAUGCAAGCAAUCUGAGAUGGAAGAAGAAGAAGGAGAAGAAGCUGUUGGAAGGAAAAGAUAUUUAUAGCUCAAACUUAUCCAAUUCCCUUAGAAAAUACAAAAAUGCCCUUUAGUAAGUUAACUUGUUCUUCUCCAAUCCUUUGUGAAAUCUUUUUAUUCUUUUGACACUGGGACAAGUUCUACAAUGAUCUAAACUACUCGGGUUUAUGAAAACUUAAAAUUUUGAAUCGAGGAGCAAAAUGACCAUUUUGCCCCUAUUGCGAAAAUUAUUGCCACAUCUAGUUUUCUUUGUGUUUUCAUCAUUAUACAUCAUUUAUUUGGUCCUUAUGCUUAUUUAGACCUUAAAUAUCAGAAAACUUCCUUCUGGGAACUUAUUAGAGGAAAUGAUGAAACUACCCCUAGCCCGGGUUAUUACGCCUAUGCCUCGUUAUGAGCCUAUAGGGGUUGAGGUCUCACAUUCUCCCCCAUUAAUAAAAAUUCGAUCCUCGAAUUUAAAUUUAACUAUAAGGUAAUGUACCUCUAAGCAUCAAAGAGGUGGGGAUAGUUUGUCCGCAUCUCUUCCUCGGCCUCCCAUGUUACCUCAUCGAAUUCAAAUCGACGUAGGGUGAAUAAUCAAAGUUCUCAAGUUCUGCCACAUCACUCUCGUCGGGCAUUCUUAACAUAGAAUCUUGGUUUAUGCAUUAUAUCAACUUCCAAUCUUUAUAGAAAAGUCAACGAUGUCAUAAUAUAUAAUUAUGUGUACUACUCUUGUUGGAUCAAAACAAUAUCAUUCUUUAUCUUAUGAAGAGAAUUCAAGUAAGCUAUUAAUUCUGGUCACACCUCAAUCAAAUCAUCCUUAAAUCAUCAAUCCUGCAUGUUUACUUAACCAUCCACAAUUCCUCUACUUUGAUCUUUUAUCAAACCUUCCAACAUUCAAGCAUUUAUUCCACCAUUGACUAUGGGUCUAAAUGGUCAACCAACCUCUAUUCCGUUUCACAUACCUCCAUACAAAUUCCAUUCAAGCAUUUCAUAAUACAUAAGGAUCAAACACUCUUUAUUUAUUCAUAUAUGUUUAACAUCACGGAUGAUUCAAAUCCGGUAACCAUUAGUAACCAUCUUCCCAAAAACAAACUCCAAUACUUUCAUGUUCGAGUGCUCACUAGAUAAAUCUCAACUUAUACCAUAAGGCAUUUCAAUAAAUCAUGACAUUCCGCAUACCCCCUUAUAAUCUUAAUCAAUCUCUUUAAUCAAUAACUCAACCUCUCAAGAUUAAAGUUGCUCAAAAUUUUCCUUUUAAAGUUCCUUUCCAAGUCUCAUUUUGAUUACUAAUUAUUUCUACAUUUUCGAUGUCAUAGCUAAUUUGUUCGUCAUCAAUCACCCACAACAUAUCUAACUUGAUAUUUCUCAAAUUUACUCCAAACAUCAGAUCUCAUGGCCUCAUUAGUUUAUCAAUUUGAAGAUCAAAUUAAACAUUUGUCUCUCCUUAAGUGCACUUUAAAAUUUAAGAAUCAUCUAUUAAGGCCUUUCUGAUAUUAACUUAUUUUAGUCCCCUUUACCUUAGAAAAUUAAAUCCAUAAUCAUUCAUUUUGAAUCAUGAGCUUUAUAUCAAUCAAGACAGAUUUUACACUUUUAAUUAUACGAAUCCAAAUGCACACCUUUACGCAUAAGCUAUAAACUUUUCCCCACAUCUUUAUAUCUCAAAACUAUAUAUAUUGAAGUUAUACCAAAACUGAUACAUCAUUUUCCAUUGCCCCUUAGGAUAUUAAAUUCAUGUCAUACUUCUCUAUUUGUGUACUUCAUAAUAGCCUAACAAUUUCUAGCUCACAGUUAAGCUAGGUCAUAUACCAAGCCUCUCAAGCUAUAUCAAAACACCAAGUUUUAUCAUGAUAUAAUAGAACUUGAUGAACUCAUACCAAAAGUAUAAACACUUACUUUUAAGCUAACAGAAUUAUAAUCCACUUGUUCACUACCAAAAUCAGCGAUAAAUUAUCUUAAUCAUUGUUUAGCAAUAUAACCAUUGAUAGAAUAUCAUCAUCGAAUCAAAUUAUAACAAACUCCUCAUGAGCUUUUAUACUAAUAUGCAACAUAUAUAUCCAACAGAUAUAUUUUCCAAAAAUUUUAACUUCAAAUAGCCUUAGGCAUAUCAAGCUCAAUAAGCCAUCUGUAAAACCAAAAUAACCAACAAUCAAGUCUAGAAUCAAUUCUUCUUAUAGUUGGUUAGAUCAUGCUCAUCAUUUGUGGUGAAUACCCAAAGCUAAUCCCAAUAUUCUAUUCUCAUACUAGAAUUGACCACUAAUUGGCACCAUCCCCAAAGCACCACGUGUCUUAAAAAUAUAUUUUGCUUAGCCAAAAUUCAUAUUCUGAUAUCAUGCUUCUAGGUCGUAGCUCAUUACCAAAGUCUUUACUCAUAUAUAAAUACUCAAAUCAUCAUCUUUUUUCUAAGUAGAUUUCUAUAAUUUCCAUAGUGUAUUUCUAUUCCCUGACCAAGGGUAGUAUCAUUUAAUCAAACCAUGUCACCUUUUUUUUUCUAAACAUUUGAAGCAUAAUUCGACCUUCCACUAUCCCUAUCAGGCACUUUACCUUGAUAGUUACUCAAAAUAAAUUGAAACUUUUGGAGAAGCACAUUUCACAAUUUAUGCUUUACGUCUACGAUUAUGUCGAGACCAGAACCUCAUUGGGUCCACAAAACGGUAGGAUAAUCAUUGCCUCAAACCAGUAUUUCUAAGUAUACUUAUGCUUGUAUCAUAUCUUCAUACUUAUGUGACAUGUCACUCACGAGCCCAGCUUGACUGUAUAGCCAUUUGCUCUUUGAGCUUUAAUGUCUUCUCAUUGUGAAAAGUCUUUCGAAUUUAUCUCAUCAGGGUAUUCAUAAGGUGGAUACAUGUCCAUAUCUUACAGUUCAAGGCCUAAAGCAUUGAACACAACCUCAUCAUUAAAGUUCUACCCUCAUCUAUCAAUCAUAGCUCCCUUGCACAUUUACCUAUACAUUGCUGGGUUACUCACAAGCCACUCAUGGCCAUCCAAAUUUUGACCUCUUAUAGCAAGUCAAGCUAAUAUAUUAUUCUUAUGUUUUCCAAUACACUUCCAAAAUGCUUAAACAAAUCCUCUAAUAGAAUUCUAUUGGGGACUCAGACAAUCAAAGGCUUAUCUUCAAAGCCAUGCAUUACUUUAACAAUUUAAUAUAUAUUUGAUAACAUAUAGCUCAUUAACACCAUUGAACAUUACUUUAAAAUCUUUCAAGAUGUCCUAACUCUUAUUUCAGACCGAACCAAACUAACUUAAUAUAAUUGCAUUGAUUAUCCUUAAGCUUUUUAUGCUCGUCAUAACAACACCUAUGUUUCACCCAUAAUUCGUCUUAAUGACUUUCAACCUUUUGCAACACACUUCUCAUACAUGUUAAGGCAUUCUUAAUCUCAUACCAAGCCUAUAGUCAUGUAAUCACCAAUUAGGCCAAAUCCUUCUAUGGAAUAUCUCUUUCCAUAUAAUGAAUGCCAAUCACAAAAUAACAACUUCAAGUGUAUGCUUACAUAUUGGUAACCUCCAUAUAUUUCAUGGUCAUAAAAACCACAAUUUACAAAACUAGCUUUCUAUCACAAGUUUGCGAUCAGAACAUUAGUCUCCACAUAUCUCACUUUUGACAUACUUCACUACCAACAUUCAUAUACCUUUACCACAACAUUCAGUGCAAAUUGAUUAAGCAAUGAUCUCCAAAUUUACUCUUAGGUACACAUAUAUCAAAUUGUACACCACUUAGUGUUAAGAUCUUGACUUUACUCAUCAAUUCUUAACCAAUUACAUCCAUAAGAUAGACAAUUCACUAAAUUUUUUGUAUCUUGCUUUUGCAAUCAUAAGAUCAAAAUUUCUUGAGCUUAGGAUGCAGAAGCUUCCUCUUAGAGCAUAUUCGAAAAUCCACAUGUUUUAAGUCCUUUACCCUUGGGGAAGUCACAUUCAAGACUAAUCAUUUACAUCAUAGGUUGCAUAUUGAACCAACAUAUUUUUAAAUUGACAUUUAAAGCAAUUCAUAUAUCAAUCUUCAUAUAGAACUCCAUAUGGCACUUAGACUAACUUUGUCAUUUUCAUGUCAUUUAAUUUCAAACUGCUAAAUCCACAUCUAAUCCUUUAAUCCUCUGGCUCCACACUAAGCAUAGCAAAAUUCAAGCUCAUCCUUAGAGUAGAUCAUUUACUAGCCUUUUACUUCAUGACCGUACAUCAAUUACAAUAAUCCGGGGUUUUCACCCUGGAGCUAAUUCAUACAAUUAUAACCAUAAACCACAAUAAUUCAAUUCAAGCCUUGGAAUCUCGCAAUCACUUAGUUGAAAUCAAAACCAACUCCAUUUAAGCUACUACACACAUAUUCAACACUUAUACGCUUAUAAAAUAUUUUAAAAGCCCACACCAUUUCUAUAGGGGCAUGUCAAGCUCAAUUAACACGGUGCACUUACCUCCGUGCACAUAAACAUUGGUUUACAUUUUCCUCGAUACUUAAAUUUAUAAACCUCAAGCGAGUCAUAACAAUUACUAUUCAUUCUAGUCAAAAUACAGCUCUUAUUACCAUUAUCAUACGUCCUCCCUAUAUUAACCUCAAAUACAACCCAUAAUCUCCAAAAUUUUAAUUUUAAUUUUUUUUAACCAUGGGUUCAAAUCAUAAUUCCACCAAAUGAAAAAAUUAUUCUAGACCUAACAGUCCAGCUCCACCUUCCUCCAUCCUUAGUUAGAGGAAUAUAUCAUUGUAUUGACCUUUCAUUAGGAGCAUUUGCUUAAAAAUCUUUUCAAUAAUGGUUUGUGUCUCGGGUGGCAUCUCAAACCCGGACAACGACACCACUUAUGACCUUUACAUAAUGUUAGCAAGAGGGUAGGUUACUAGGAAUAGGAGUUCAUAUGGCCUCUUGUCUAUGAUCUGUGAUGCAAUCACAAACUAUAAACAAGACUCUACAUUAACUCAGACAACUCCGCUGACUGACACAAGAAUCCCUAGGAGUCGGCUAAACCUAGAGCUCUGAUACCAAUAUUGUCAUAACCCAAAUUCCCAGGCCAUGACCGGCGCAUGGGCUCAAUGGGCAUAGCCCACUAAGCCCAAGCAAGCCUCCUUAUGCAAUUCCGAUUAUCAUUCCCAUCCAUCAUCUUUAAAAUGAAGUGUUGUAACUCUCAAAAGUAAAUGUUCUAGUAAUAUUUUAUAACAACUGAAUAUUCAUUGUUAUAUUAUAUCAAAGUACUGUCAUCAUCAAUCUAACAUAUGCAUACUUCAUUUAUAACAUGACUCUUAUAGCAUGUUUGGUUGGGGGAAUGGCUAAGCCAUUCCCCCUUUAUUCCCAAGAAAUUUUUAUUCCUUUGUUUGGUUGAAAAAUGAUCCAAGGAAUAGCCAUUCCUAUGGAAUGGCUAUUCUUCAAAAUCCUUCAAAACCAAGGAAUAGCUAAUACCACCCUCCCCCAUGGUAUUAGCUAUUCCAUGGUUGAGGAAUAAAUUUAAAAAUUAAUAAAGACAAAAAUACCCUUUACAAGUUUGAAAAUUUACAACUUUAUUAGUAUAAAAUAUUAUUUUUCUCUCUCUCCUCUUUCUCUCACUUGAUUCCAAUUUUUAAUAAAAUAUUAAUAUUAAAUUAUAAAUAAAAUAUUAAUAUUUAAAUUAUCAAUUAUUAAUAAAAUAAAUUAUAAAUUAUUCCUAUUUAAAAACAANNNNNNNNNNNNNNNNNNNNNNNNNNNNNNNNNNNNNNNNNNNNNNNNNNNNNNNNNNNNNNNNNNNNNNNNNNNNNNNNNNNNNNNNNNNNNNNNNNNNNNNNNNNNNNNNNNNNNNNNNNNNNNNNNNNNNNNNNNNNNNNNNNNNNNNNNNNNNNNNNNNNNNNNNNNNNNNNNNNNNNNNNNNNNNNNNNNNNNNNNNNNNNNNNNNNNNNNNNNNNNNNNNNNNNNNNNNNNNNNNNNNNNNNNNNNNNNNNNNNNNNNNNNNNNNNNNNNNNNNNNNNNNNNNNNNNNNNNNNNNNNNNNNNNNNNNNNNNNNNNNNNNNNNNNNNNNNNNNNNNNNNNNNNNNNNNNNNNNNNNNNNNNNNNNNNNNNNNNNNNNNNNNNNNNNNNNNNNNNNNNNNNNNNNNNNNNNNNNNNNNNNNNNNNNNNNNNNNNNNNNNNNNNNNNNNNNNNNNNNNNNNNNNNNNNNNNNNNNNNNNNNNNNNNNNNNNNNNNNNNNNNNNNNNNNNNNNNNNNNNNNNNNNNNNNNNNNNNNNNNNNNNNNNNNNNNNNNNNNNNNNNNNNNNNNNNNNNNNNNNNNNNNNNNNNNNNNNNNNNNNNNNNNNNNNNNNNNNNNNNNNNNNNNNNNNNNNNNNNNNNNNNNNNNNNNNNNNNNNNNNNNNNNNNNNNNNNNNNNNNNNNNNNNNNNNNNNNNNNNNNNNNNNNNNNNNNNNNNNNNNNNNNNNNNNNNNNNNNNNNNNNNNNNNNNNNNNNNNNNNNNNNNNNNNNNNNNNNNNNNNNNNNNNNNNNNNNNNNNNNNNNNNNNNNNNNNNNNNNNNNNNNNNNNNNNNNNNNNNNNNNNNNNNNNNNNNNNNNNNNNNNNNNNNNNNNNNNNNNNNNNNNNNNNNNNNNNNNNNNNNNNNNNNNNNNNNNNNNNNNNNNNNNNNNNNNNNNNNNNNNNNNNNNNNNNNNNNNNNNNNNNNNNNNNNNNNNNNNNNNNNNNNNNNNNNNNNNNNNNNNNNNNNNNNNNNNNNNNNNNNNNNNNNNNNNNNNNNNNNNNNNNNNNNNNNNNNNNNNNNNNNNNNNNNNNNNNNNNNNNNNNNNNNNNNNNNNNNNNNNNNNNNNNNNNNNNNNNNNNNNNNNNNNNNNNNNNNNNNNNNNNNNNNNNNNNNNNNNNNNNNNNNNNNNNNNNNNNNNNNNNNNNNNNNNNNNNNNNNNNNNNNNNNNNNNNNNNNNNNNNNNNNNNNNNNNNNNNNNNNNNNNNNNNNNNNNNNNNNNNNNNNNNNNNNNNNNNNNNNNNNNNNNNNNNNNNNNNNNNNNNNNNNNNNNNNNNNNNNNNNNNNNNNNNNNNNNNNNNNNNNNNNNNNNNNNNNNNNNNNNNNNNNNNNNNNNNNNNNNNNNNNNNNNNNNNNNNNNNNNNNNNNNNNNNNNNNNNNNNNNNNNNNNNNNNNNNNNNNNNNNNNNNNNNNNNNNNNNNNNNNNNNNNNNNNNNNNNNNNNNNNNNNNNNNNNNNNNNNNNNNNNNNNNNNNNNNNNNNNNNNNNNNNNNNNNNNNNNNNNNNNNNNNNNNNNNNNNNNNNNNNNNNNNNNNNNNNNNNNNNNNNNNNNNNNNNNNNNNNNNNNNNNNNNNNNNNNNNNNNNNNNNNNNNNNNNNNNNNNNNNNNNNNNNNNNNNNNNNNNNNNNNNNNNNNNNNNNNNNNNNNNNNNNNNNNNNNNNNNNNNNNNNNUUCACUCACCGAUCUUGUUGUUUCUUUUGCUUGACUCUAACCUCAACUAAUACUCCAAAGGGACAUGUGAGGCCUUGUUGGAACCUAUACACAUACAACAUCACAACCAAUCCAAUUUACAUUAAUAUCACUUCAAAAGCUAGUUUCUAAUUCAAAUUCUACUAGUCAUUCCUAAUUGGCUUCCAACUAUAUCAAAUGGCUACUCCUUGCACUACUCUAAUCACAAUAAAAAUGAGUGAACAGCUCAACAAUAAAACAGCUCAUAAUCCCAAUUACUAGCCAUUAUCAACAACUUAAAACCAAGCCUAGUUCAUCACUCACCUUAGGGUUUCUUUGUAGUUGAAUUCUCUUCCCAUAGCUUUCAAAAAAAUAUGAAAAAUCUCUUUUUCUCUCUCUAAAACCUCCAACUAGUGAGAGAAAGUGCUGAACAAAGACUUUUGGAGGGUCUUAAGGUAUAAAAGUGGAAGAGCAUGAAAAAUCGUAUGAAAGAGUGGGCAAAAGCAUGAAAUUUGAAGCUAGAGAGAGAAAGUUAUGAAAGUUGCAAAGCAAGCUUCCAUGGAGGAUGGAAGCAACGUGAGAUGGAAGAAGAAGAAGGAGAAGAAGCUGCUAGAGAAUAAAGAAGUUGCUGAAAGAAAAAGAUAUUUAUAGCUCAAGUUUAUCCAUUCCACUUGAAAUUAUGAAAAUGCCUUUAGCACAUUAACUUGUUCUCCUUCAAUCCUUGGUGCAAUCUUUUUACUCUUUUGAUACUAAAACAAGUCCAUAAUGGUCUAGACAUGCUCGGGUUUACAAAACUUAAAAAUUUUGACCCGAGGUGAAAAAUGACCAUUUUGGCCCUGUGGUAAAAAUUAUUGAAACUUCUAAUUUUCUUUGUGUUUUCAUCAUUACACAUUAUUUAUUCUAUCUUAUGCCUAUUUAGACCUUGAAAUAUCAUAAAACAUUCUUUUGAGAGCUUUUUUAAAGAAAAUGACAAAACUACCCCUAGCCCAUGUUAUUGCGCCUAUGCGUAGUUAUGAGCCUAUAAGGGUUGAGGUCUCACACCUUCUAUGCCAUGGCACCACAUGGGGAACUUCGCGAUGCCUAGGACUAUGCAAGACGUGGGGGAAAUAAGCCCUGCGUUGCCACGACACCAAGGGGGUGUGCUGUGACACCCACCUAAUUAUUGAUAAAAAAACCCUAAAGCCCCAAUAUAAAAACCCUAUUUCCCUUCCCCUCUUCUUCAUUAGCCUCUUAUCCACUCUCUCUAUAAAAAUUUCUCUCCACGUUCUCUCUAAAAUUCUUUAUUCAAAUCCUCAACUAGCCAACCUCUGCCUUCAACCUUCAACAUUUGGUCUUCAAUACUCAAGUAAGUCUAUUAUUCCUACACUGGUGAUUUUUGAUAUAUUGUGCAUUGCGAAAUUGUGGAUUGUGGGAGUUUUACUACUUAAGUUAAUAAUUCCUAGUGACCUAUUGUUGAAAUAUUUAAUUGGAGUUUAAUUUUUCGCUAUUUGUUUGAAGUUUAAUUUGUUGAAUAUGGCACCCAAGAAAGCAAGAGCCAAUGCUAGUAUUUCUUAUGAUAGGGCUAGAUUUAUUUGUGUUGAUUCUGAAAAGAAAUAUAAUGAAGAGGUAGUUUAUAAAAUUUGAUGCCUGAGAAAGGAUUUGGUGUCAGUGAAAGUCAGUAUCCAGAUGUUCAUGUAAUUAUUCUUGCUAGGUAGAGAACCACAUUUUGUAAAUAGACUUUUACAGCUGUGAUGCCUUUAGUUACAGAAUUUUAUGCAUAUGCGAAAGAGCAUCAUAACGGGUCUAUUCCUGUUCAUGGUAAAUUAAUGCCUAUUACUACUAAUGCUAUUAAUGUUUAUUUUGAAAUUCCUAAUAAUGUGAUUUAUGUAUAUUUUACUCUAGAGUCAGAUUAUGAGGAGAUAAUUAAUUACUUGUGUAAGGGUAAUGGGGAGUGGAAAAUGUUUAAAAGAUUGCUUGUGUCCUUUAAGAGCAACAAACUUCAUGGUGCCUACAAAUGUUUGUUAUAUUUUAUUGUUACUAAGUUGCUUCCAAUUAAGCAUAUGAGUCAUAUUACUAUGGAUCGAGUUAUGUUGCUUUAUUGUAUUAUGACUAGUAAAGCAAUUAAUAUUGGACGUUUGAUCUACCUCAUUAUCCUUAGAACUACUAAAACACCUCAUGAGGGUAUCUAGUUUCCUUAUUUGAUUGCUCAAUUCUGUAAGAGAGUUGGUGUGGAGUGGUAUUGUCAACUUUGCACACGUAAGUAUACGUAUUGAAUAAGUAAUAUAGGCAGUAAGUCCAAAUUAUCGUUCCCAAGAGGAUUUAUUUCUAAAGUUUCACUAAGAGCAUGUUUGGCCUGAUUUUUUUUAACUUAAAAGUUAUUAUAAAGCUCUUAUGAAAAAUAAUAGCUUUUAAAAGAGAAAAUUGUGAGAAAUGACCUUUCUUGAUAAAGAUAUUUUAAAAAUAACCAUCAAAAUAAAUUUAAUUAUUUUUAGCCAUAUUAGUCAUGAUUUGACAAAAAUACCCUUUAAACUAUUUCAAAUAAAUUAAACCAUUCAUCACAAUUUCUCCCCAUUUGUGCUUUAGAUUUCUCUCUCUCACCAUCCCACUCUCAAAUUGUAUCAAUUUCUUUCUUCAGCAUUUGUCGUUAUGCUUUCGAUUUCUCUCUCCCGUAUUUUCAUAUUUCUAUUUUCUUGCACUUUCAAGACACCAAAUAAUAGUUUUGACGUGCUUAGGUGUGUGAUUAUUUGAAAAAUUCAAUUUUUAGGUAUUUUGGAUAAAACAAAAAGGGUAAAAAUAAUCACAGAUGUAUGAAAUAGCUUUUAAUUGAAUCAAUUCAGGACCUAGACACCAAUAAACUCAAAAUUUUGAAAGUUAUAAACCUAGGUUUUCAAAGAAAUAUUUUUUUUAUUUUUAGUCAAAGUAGGUGUUUUAGAUAAAAAAAAAUUUGUAUUUUGAUUUAUGAAAACAUGUUAAAAACACUUUAAUCAGUGUCAAAUUGUCAAAAAAUAAAGGAAAUGAAAAGAGUUGAGAGGAUUUGAAGUUUUGGUUUGUAAGAAACAACAACAUUUUAGGCAUUAAAGUGUAACAAAAUAUUUUUGAGUAUGUUGUGUAACAACAAUAUUUUUUCAACAUGGCAUGUAACAACAAUAUUUUUUUUAACAUGGUGUGUAACAACCUUUUUUAACCAUGGCGUGCAACAUGUUUCUGUACAUGGUGUGUAACAACAAUAUUUUUUUUCAACAUGGCGUGUAACAACCUAAUCAUAGCUUAUCACAUGUUUUUGUACAUGACAUGUAACAAUCUAACUAUAACGUGUAACAACCUAACCAUGGCUUAUCAUAUAGCAUGUAAUAUGUUUUUGUAAAUGACGUGUAACAUCAUAGCGUAUAAUUUCAUUAAGGGUAAUUUUGUCCAACUUGGCUAAUAAUAGUUAAAAUUAUAAAGAGAGCUAUUUUUUAAAACAUCUUAUCUUUAAGGGUUAUUUUUUAAAAUUUCUCAUUUUAAAAUUAAGCUAAAAUUUUUUGACAAAUUUACUUUUUAUAAGCUCUUUUUUAUAGAUAAGUUAUUUGGUAAAACAACUUAUAUAAACUCUAAUUUUAGUUAAAAUUACCAUAAAGGGUAUUUAAUAAAUAACUUUUUAUUAAUCACGAAUUUCUUUAUUCAAAAUAAAGAAAAUUAAUUUCAAAAUUAAUUUUAUUUUUUUAUCUAUUUAAAAUAAAUUUUUGCAAAUAUUAAAAGGAUUUUUAUAUAAUAUAGAGUUUAUAAUUAAUAAUAAAUCAUAAAAAAAAGAGUUCCACAAAUAAUUUAUAAGUAACACAUAAUUCACAAAUAAUUUUUUAUUAAAUAAAAAUAAAUAAAUAAAAUCAAGAGAAAAAAUUGAAUCAAAUAAAAAAAUGAGAGAUGAAAGAAAGCAGUGAGUCGACUAUUGGAACUCUUAAGCUUAACAAUGGAGGAGAACUCAAAAAAGAAGACGAGAAGUCUAAAGUGGUAAUAAUAAUUCAAGAAACCAUAUUUAGCUAUAGAUGUCCUUAUUAUCAAAGUUCACCUCCAUGAACAAUAUUAUCUCAACAACCAUAAUCAACGAAUAUUAUCUUAAUUUUCAUCUAAUUUGUCUCAACAACCAUUGACUUAUUUAAUUAAUUAUUUCAAUCAUAAUCAUCAAAUAUUAUAUACACCAUAAAGAAGUCAAGAAUAAAUAAACAUCACAUAAUUGUCAUAUUAAACAAUAAAUUGAGAAAUAUCAACUAAUAAAGAGAGUUUUCAAAGUACCAAAAAAAUAUAGAAAAUAAAAUGAAAAACAAACAAAAAAGAAAAAAAAGAAAUAAUACUUUAAUGCAGUUUUGAAUUUUGGAUCUUCUUUUUUCUUAAUUUUUGUAAGAACAAAAAAAAAACCAUAAAAUGAUGAUUUACAAAAAGGGAGAGAGGAGAGGAAAAUCGAUAGGGAGAGAGGGAGGGAGAAUUUUUUGAGAGGGAAGAUCUUUUUGGGAAAAAAUAGCUCUCCUAAUAAGCUGGUGUGUUUUAAAAAAAAAAAAGAUGAGAAAGCUCCUAAUUGGAGCUUUUUUUUAAGUUUUUUGUUUCAUAUUUUAUUCUUUAAAAAAAGCUACUUUUUUUUAAGAGUUUUUUACGAAAUCCUAUUUAGUCCAGCUUCUGCUUUUAAGCAGUAGAUAAGCUGAAAAUAAGUCAGGCCAAACGGGCACUAAGAACUAAAAUUAUAGAACAAAUUAAUCUUAUUUAAGUAAUUUGAAAAUUCAAGAAGAACUAAUUAAAACAAAAUUAAAAAUCAACACUAAAUAAACUAAUAAACUAAAUGAAUUGAGAAAACAAUAUAUUAAAAACUUAGGAUCAUGGGUUCAUUCAACAUUUCAUCUGAUGCUAGCUUUUCUUGUUAUUUAUCUUUCCUGGGUGGUUUUACUAACCUAGAAUCCAAAACUAUGGACAAGUCUCUGUUAAGAUGCUUAUACAAAUACUUAACUUAAUUAGUUCACUAUAUGUCUAUUGGAAUCAAUUAAAUUAAGCUUAUUAAGUAAGUGUCCUAAUUUGGCUAUAUAUGAUAAUUGGCGUAUGUCUACCUGAAUCACGAAUCAGAUCACCUAAGUAAAGUGAACAUACAUUAAUCAAAUCUUAGUUCAACCUAAAAUCUCUCUGUCAAGUUCAAGUAGAUUCACAAAUCAAUUAAUUAUUAAUUCAACAAUUAAAAGCAUUAAGAACAUAUUUAACUAAGUAAAACAUUAACCAUUCAUGAUAAACAACAAAAAACAAGUAUUCAGAUUACAUGUUGAAAUCUACCACAAUCCUAGAUAAGCAAAUUAGUUCAUAAUAUCAAAAUAAAACACUAUCUAAAGAAUUUUAGCCAUCAAUUCUAAACAAGAAAUAAAAAUAACACAAAAUGACAAAAUUAAACUAAUGUUGAAGCUUGAUUGAUUGCAAAUCUCUCUCAAUUACUCUUGAUUUCUUAAUUGAUUCAAACUUCAAUUCUCUAGAAAGUUGUUGCCAUCCUCUCUCUAGAAUGCUCUCCAAAAAGGCUUUUAAAUAUGUGCAAGGUGCCCUACUUUCUAAUUUUUUGUCAAAGGUAUGUUUUGGAAAUUAAGGUGGUGUCGUAGUGCUGUGGCCUUCCUUGGUAGCGCCUCAGUGCUACUUCUUUAGCGCCACAACCAUGAUUCUCUACGCCACGGCGCUCUAACCAUGCGGCCAUAAGUGUAGACCUACAUAUGUCCAUCAACUUCGAACAUGAUUUUCAUCUCCAUCUGAUCCAAACGGGUAAAGUGGUAAGCAUGAAAGUUAUAGCCCAUUCUCUUAGCUUUCUAAUGAAUAAAAAUCACAUCAAUUGGCUUUCGACAACUCAAGUUAUCUUCAAAUUACUACAACAUGUACAAGUGACACUUUCACUUCAUUUAUGCUAUCAUAUCUUUCUUUCACCUUGCUCAUCAUAUUCUGUACAAAACCAUGAGAAAAAUUGGCAAUAAUUUUUCCUAAAGUAAAUUAAGACAAAAUAAAGUGAAAUUAAACUAAAACCAACUAAUUUAACUGUUCAAUACGUAAUCUACCUGACACUAGAAAAAUAGCUUGAAAGGUUAAAAUCUGAUCUAGAACUCAAGGAUCUAGCCACUAAAGUCCCCAAAAUGUGUUAACAACUCUAUAUAGCAGAGUUAUCAAACCCCCAAACUUAAGAUUUUACUAGUCCUUGAGCAAAAUAAAGAACUAAAUACUCUAACUUAAACAUGAAAACAUAAAAGCAUUCAACUAGACUUCAGUUGCACCAUUCAUCCAUUACCUUUUAUAUCCUCAAAAGUUACUUCACAUUCAAAAUUCUAAUCCACAUACAAAUACUAUUCAAGUUCAUGUCUCAAUUCAAAUGCCAACUUAUCAUUAAGUGAAAUUUCGUGUGGGUAUGCAAUCUUUUCACUUAAAAAAUUGUACAAUCCGGAUAAGUUUAUAUUCAUGCAAAAUUCAAAUUAGUAAUUAAAUUCCAUAAGUUUGCUUUUCAUCUCUUUCUCUCCACUAAUGUAGACUAACACUAAAUCAAGGAUCAAUAGGACUUUUAUUAGCUUAUAUUAUAUGGUUAGGGUAAAGGUGCGAUAUAGGAUAAUGUAUAGCUCAAGUUAUCUUAAGCAUAUAAUCAAUCUAGGAUCUAAUCAGAGCUUUAAUGCCCUUCAACCUAGUCUAUCCCUUUUUCAUCAACAUUUUUCUUUUGUUCAUUUCAUUCUGCUUUUCUUUCUUUCCCUUUUUCUUUUUUCAGUUUCACACCCCCACAUUGAAAUUUUUUUUAUUGGGUAGUCAGAUGAACACAACUAUACUUUUGAACUUUUCAUCAUUUUUCAUCUUUACUACUUUUAUCACCAUUUAGCUCAUAACUUCCUAAAUUGACUUAUGCACUUAAGAAUGAAGGGUGCAAGAAAUUGGAACUUUCAAUACAAGGUUCUAAGCUAAAAAUUAAGUAUUAGACAAAGAAACGAUGUCAUUAAGCUCAAAAGGGAAAACUAAGGAUAAUUUAAAUAAAUGAAGGCUUCGAAAGACUCAAUCGAUCUAAAAAUGGCCUAAAUCAUUUUCGUAAUUACGUGUAGCCUAAGAUUUCACCUUAAGAAAGAAUCAAACAAAUUCUAAACUUAAUACAUAAUUUAAGAAUUCGCAUUCACAUAAACUUUUUCUCAAUAUAUACAAUGAAACUAAGCAAAAGACAUAGUGUCCAAAAUGUGAAAAUUUUAACCUAACAGUAAAGCUUAGGAUGAGAAUUUACAUAACACUCAAACAAUAUUCACAUAUUUCAAAGAAUCAAGAUAGGAAUAAAACUGAGUUCUCAUUAUUGGAUAGGUAAAUUAAACUAAACUAGCACAAUUAAUUCUAGUUCAAAUGCAAAUGCAUAUGCAUUAAUUAACAUGAAAAAUUCCCACAUGAGACUACAAUGCAGUGUAAAAGCUCCCACAAACUUAAUAUCAACAUCAUCCUCAAUGUAAACAAAAAGUACAAGAAAGUGGUACUCCCUUGACUUGUUAGAGUAUUGCUCGAUAUCCUCAUCUUCAUCAUCAAAAGGCAAGUUUUCCACAGUGGGAUCAUCUGAGAGUGUAGGAAAAGUGCUCAUAUCCAUACCAACAUGCUCAGCAUAGGCAUGCAUCAUCUGUUCCCUGGACAUCAAAUCCUCCAAGUAAACAUUUUGAAAGCCUUCAGGAAAUUACCUGCAAGACUACUUUUAAGUUACAUUGCCUUAUUUAAAGAUGAGGAGAAAAACUUUUCUUCACAAAACCUCUAGGUAUGCUAUACUAUAAACCUCUAGGUAACAACUUCAAAACCUUUACGUACAAUUUUCAAAACCUCCAAGUACAUCUUCAAAACUUUCUAGUAACAACUUCAAAACCUCCAAAUAUAAUUGCUUAAAACCUCUAGUUACAUCUUCAAAACCUUCAAGUAUCAAUUUCAAAACCUCUAGAUAACAUUUUCCAAAAUCUUUAAGUCAAAGAAUAAAGAAUCAAGCUCAUUUUGAGAUGAGCAAGUCUUUGUGGCCUUAAAUUGCCUUUUAAAACAAAAUAGUCGUCAUGUAUCUUUGUGCAAUUCCUGAUUCUUAGAAAGUACACAAAAAGAGACAAUUAUAAACACCUUAUUAUGUUCGAAUCAAUUUAAGGUGUUCUUUUUUAUUUCAUCUCCGUUUUAUUUUCUUUCAUUUAUUAGUCUUUAUUUAUUUAACAUCAAGUCAAGUUUGAUGUAAGUCUAAUUGGAUUAAGUGUUUUUAAGAUUGAAGUCCCACGACACUUUAAGUCUAAUUCCGCAUUGGAUCUCUGGGCUUUUAAAGUUCAAAGCCUAUUAGGCCCACCAGAUUAAAAGAAAAAAGAAAAAGUUAUGGCUACCACCAAACAGACUGCCAUGGUAACCUACUAGGCAGUUAUGCCUCAUAUUUGUCUAAAGCCACUCCCUUAAAGUCACAUCUCUUAUAGUCACCCAUACCAAAUUGGUGACUAAAAGGAAAAUGUCACCUAGAGCAUUUAAUGCCCUUUGAGCCGGCUGAACUUGGAUGACAAGGAAGACAUCUCCGGCUACUUCAAAUCUCAAAUGUUUAAAGAUUUGAAUCCUUGAGUUGCACUAUAAAUAACAACCUGAAGGAGCAAAAGAAGGGUAGAGCAGUAAUAUAAAGAAAAUCCCUAACAAUACCUUUGCAAAACACAAAAAAUGCCCUAGAUCUACCAACAGUUAUCCACAAACAAAUAUAGCAAAAAUAUAGAACAAAUACAAAAAAAAAAUCGAAAAGGGAAACGCAGAAAUGAAAUCCUUAUCAGGAAAUCAUAGAUAUGAUAUCAUACUUGGUUUUUUACGAUAAAAAGUUUUCAGGUUUAAGGACUUUCGGUAUUGAGGGAAUUGGUUUUUGAAAAUCUAGACUAACCCUGAGAUUCAAGUUAAAGCAAGGCUGUGGGAGUGACUUAUGGUCAAUAAAUGAAGGUUGUGCAAUGGUUUGAACAAUGACGUUUUUUAAAAGGCAUUGUGCUUAUAGGGUGAUUGUUUAGUCAAGUGGAAAAGGAAGAGAUAACUAAGAAGGGAGAAACAAAAUGAUACUUACAUAGUUAUGGUUUUGAGUGAAGUUUAGGGUGUUAAAUGGUGCCGUUUGGAAGAACAGCUAAGGGCUUAGCAAAACAACAUUGUUUUGGCGCAAAGAGGGGAAGGGAUCCAAUGCAAUGCCCCACACAGUGCAUUUGAUGGGGAGCUUGGACCAUAGAGGAAUUGGGCCAUUUGCGAAAGCUUGCACAAGCCCACAUGGUGCAAACGAACAAGGGGUCUUGUUGAAUCUUUAGGCCUACACUGGCCAACUAGGUAAUGGAACUCCCUUUGUUCGUUGGUUUAGCUUGCUAUUGGGCUGGAUUUUGAUUUGUUUGUAUUUUUUUUCUUAUUUGAUUUUCUUGUUUUGGUAACUCUAUUUAUUACGUGAAUACAAUAAUAUUUUUAUUUCCUUCAUAUAAAUAUAAUAUAUAUAUAGGAUGAUAAUAUAAACAAUGUGAUAUUUGAGUUAAGCGGUGAAGGAAUUUUCACUUGGGACACAAAAAGUCACAAUUUCGAGUUAAUGUUUUGAGGUGAGAGAUUUAACUAAAGCUCCACCCAUAUGAUGGGAGGGCUUUAGUUUUUAAGUCUCAAUAUGUCACGACCCGAAACUCUCAUCAAGCCCGUGACAACCGCCGCGGCGUCCCGAUAAGCACUCAUUACCCCAAAUGCCGAUCGAAACCCCGCAAAGCUUAGCAUCAACUUCCGCAUCUCCCUGGUGAGCGACAGUUAUUAAAUCUCGCAUUUCAAGAAAACAUAAGUUGUUUCCAACUCAAAAUAAUAAAAUAUUAUUUUCUGGCUCACAGGGGCAUUUUCAUCAUUUUUCUUCGAAAAUAUCGAAACUCGCCAAAAACAUGGUGUAAAAGCUAAAUAUAUUCCUACGUACUUUAAAUCAAAUAACUGAAGAAUAAAAUUANNNNNNNNNNNNNNNNNNNNNNNNNNNNNNNNNNNNNNNNNNNNNNNNNNNNNNNNNNNNNNNNNNNNNNNNNNNNNNNNNNNNNNNNNNNNNNNNNNNNNNNNNNNNNNNNNNNNNNNNNNNNNNNNNNNNNNNNNNNNNNNNNNNNNNNNNNNNNNNNNNNNNNNNNNNNNNNNNNNNNNNNNNNNNNNNNNNNNNNNNNNNNNNNNNNNNNNNNNNNNNNNNNNNNNNNNNNNNNNNNNNNNNNNNNNNAUAAUCCCAGUGAGUAAACAAUUACCAUCAAAAGCAUCUAAAGCCGAGUAGAUGGAGACAAUAUAAAAACGUUAUAUCUCAAUAAUGUUCAUAACACAAAACUCGUUUCAAUCUAUACCAAACAAUUUUUUUUCAUCAAAAUUUCUCGGCUUAUGAAUUUUUUAAACUUGGCCCCUACCAAUAUCCUUCUCCCGGGUACCUUCGUCAAGGUAUCCCACUGAGACCACCAAGGCUGUUCAAUGACCUAUACCCAUAAACAUGUUUUCACAUCUAACACACAGUCGUUCCUUGGCGUUGGCUAAGUCUCACUCUCACGUGAUGGCCCGAACGUGAGGUGCACUUAAAUCAUACCUCAGGAGAUACUUCACCCAACAUCUCCCCCCGGAGGUAAGUAUAUAAUUAAGUUACCGUGCCCCUCUCAUAGGCAGUCCACGGAAACCCCCACCUCUGCAGUGACCGUUUAAUAUACCACCAGACCCAUAAAAAUUCCAGUAGCAUAAUAUGGCGAAUAAAAUGUAAUCCAGUCUACCAAGACCAAUCCAAAACUGUUCAUGUAUUUCAUGCCAACCUCAAAAAUUUAGCCAUCAUGCUACCAUAAUGUCAUAAGCCACAAUUUCAAUAACAUAUAAAAUCAUAAAUUUCAACACAGUCUCCAUAUACUCAAUUUUCCCAAAACAAUAUUAGUUUUCAAAACCAGUAUAAAUCUCAUUUUUUAUUAAAAAAUAUUUUAAUUGGAAAACAUAAUAUUUUAUAAUUUAAACUCACCAUUCAAUAAAAGCAUCAAACAAGUAUAAUUACUCUAGAUAUUUAAGACGAUAAAUUGUCCACUCACAGUUCUAGGAGUUGAUGUACUCCUAAUCCCAGCCAUCAAGCACAAUUUUCUGUACUUUUACCAGUGUAAUUUGCUCACCACCUAUCCACAAUGUACAAUACAUAAUUCACCACAUCAAUGCUUGACCAUUAUAAAACCAAUUCAGGCUUGGUAUAUAUGCAUGAUAUGACAUGCAACUUAUCCGACUACCGCUUAAAUGCGAUGUUGACCUAAUUCGGCCUAUUACCCGAUUAAAUUACUAACGCGUCCAAUUUAAUCUCAAAUUAAUUUUUUCAGUUUCUAUACCUCAAUUGCACCCAAAUUGACUUAAUGUUCCUUAGUGUGGUGUAAAUUAUCAGUCUUGAUAGAAAAUUACGAAAAUACCCCUAGUGGGUAAAAAUUCAUAUUUUUGCUCCGAAAAUUCUCAUUAUUUUUCUAAGCUCAUAAUUUAUCAUUAUUCAUCAUAAUUCCUCAAAUAAACAUCAAGAUCAGCAGCCAAUAUUCCCCUAGAAAAUUCAGCCAAUAAUGGUAAUGGAGGAAAAUAAAUUCUUUUCUUGUUGUUUUGUUCCUAAAUAUGUUAAACUAACUUAAAACACUAACAUAACUUAAAAUCAAAUUAAUCUAACAAGUUUCUCUCUCCUAACCCAUUUUUUCAGAAUUGAAUUCAUCCUCAAAUCACAUGAUUCAACCAUGGAAAAUGAUGAGAAAUGCAUGGAAAUGAUAAAUCUCAAGCUAAGCUUGAAAAAUCAUACCUUUAAACACUUGAUUUCUUGAAAAAUCACACUUUUUCUUUGAAUUUUCUCACUCUAGGGUUUGUUCUUAUUUCUCUCUCUCUCCUGCUGGUUCUGGC
rnacentral:lncRNA from 1 species